UUCCCCACCCAUCCUCUUCACCCCCGCUCUCAUUCCCAUUCCCCGCACCCCUCAAUUGCAUCGGAGCAUUAUUUUUGCUAAAUGGUCCCUUCACAGGAUCUUAUGUAUGUACCAGAGCAUCUACAGCCGGCCCCUGGAUCUGGAACCCGAGUGGAUACCCAUCCCAUCCGGAUCCGGAUCUUGACCGACCCCUUCCCCCGCCGGCGACGAGCCCUAGCUAGCUCGGACCAGUCCUGGUGCGAGAGGCCACCGGCGGCAAGGCUGCGUGCGGUGGCGGAGCAUGCACUGCGAGCGCUCUACUCGGAUCUGACCGAACCCCGUCGCCGCGCCCGUCCCGCUCGCCGUGGCCGAUGAUCGCGCGCGUCGGCUGGGGCCGCGUCCCUCCCCAGAUGGCGGCGAUGAUGGAGGGAGCCGCCGGCACCAGCCCCCUCCCGCCUCGCCGGACCGCGCAUCGGCUUGGAGGCCCCUCGGGACUGCCGCCGGUGCGGGGGGGCGUCCGCGGCCUUGCGGGCUGGGGACCGAGCGGGAUCUGAGCCGCCGUCGAUGGAUUUCUCGCAGCCUGGCUUCGUUUUUCUUUGGAUCCGGUGCGUGCGUGCGUGCAAGCUCUCUCUCUCUCUCUCUCUCGGUGCGUGCGUGCGCGCAGUUCACACCACUAGACCCAAACCCUAAACCAAAUCAGGGGAGCUCUCGUUGCCGGAUCGCUGGCCUAUCGUCCGGAUGUCCGCCGCGUCAGUUCCCCACAGCUACGGUGCCGCCAGCCACCGCCGUUCCAUUGCCUUGGAUUCGGCUGUGCUCGUGGGCUGGGAACCGUGCUCUGUUGUCUGAUGCGUCGUUGGAGCGGGAGGUUUGAUCGGUCGAGGCCAGGUAUGAGCAGCUCCUUUGCUGGCUGGAUGGAUGGAUGUAGGUCAUAUGUCGUGAACUAACACCACGACACCUCUUUUGGAACGGAGGGAGUAUGUAUGUACGUAUGGAUGUCAUGGUCAUGUUGCUUGGGGGUUCAACCUCUUUUUGCGUUAGGGUUCACUUCGUGUGUUCUUUCGCUCCAGGGGUCAUUUUUGUCAAUUUUGCCCCCCUCCCCAUUAUUUUUGCUAAAUGGCCCCUUCACAGGAGUAUGUAGCAGAGCAUCUACAGCCAUACAUGGAUCUGGAACCGGAGCGGAUACCCAUCCGGGUCCAGAUCUCGACCGACCCCUUCUCCCGCUGGUGACGAGCCCCUAGCUAGCUAGCUCGGACCAGCCCGGCUGCGAGAGGCCACCGGUGGCAUGGCUGCGUGCGGCGGCAAGGCCGCGUGUAAUGCGAGCGCUCUACUUGGAUCUGUCCGAAUCCUGGCGAGCCCUGUCUCCCGCUCGCCGUGGCCGCUGAUCGCGCUCGUCGGCUGGGGCCGCGUCCCUCCUCAUACGGCGGCGAUGAUGGAGGGAGCCGCCGGCGCNNNNNNNNNNNNNNNNNNNNNNNNNNNNNNNNNNNNNNNNNNNNNNNNNNNNNNNNNNNNNNNNNNNNNNNNNNNNNNNNNNNNNNNNNNNNNNNNNNNNAUUUAAGCGGGACUUCGAAAAUUUCCAACCCAAUUCGUCCAUUACUCUUCUUCCUCUCGUUCUCCUACCCGACGCGGCACAGCGACGAACGUAACCGACGCCGUCACGCUGCCCGCCGUCCUGCUCGCCGUCGGCCAUCCUCCUUGCCGCCGCGCCGUCCUCCUCGCCGUCGCGCCGUCCUCCUCGCCGCCUCGCCGUCCUCCUCGCCGUCGCUCCGUCCUCCUCGCCGUCGCGCCGUCCUCCUCGCCAACACUCCGGCCAGUAAGCCCCCCGCCCCCUCCUCCCCAACACUCCGGCCAGUAUAGAAGAAAAGAUGAAAAAGGAGAAGAGAAGAAGAAAAAGGAGAACAAAGGAAGAAAAAGGAGAACAAAAGAAGAAAAAGGAGAAGAAAAGAAGAAAAAGAAAAGAUUUUUUUGUCAUUUAGUUCCUAUUGUUUUUAGGUUUGUGCUAAAUUAUUAGGGUUAGUAAUAUUUAGAAUUAGGUUAGGGUUACAAGAAGAAGAAAUAUGAACAAAAAUAAGAAAAUAAGAUUAGGAAAAAUGAAAAUAAGAAGAGGAGGAGAAGAAAAGAAGAAAAAGUGUAUAUUGUAUAGUGUAUAUGCUUAAGUGUAUAGUGUAUAUAGUGUAUAGUGUAUAAGGAGAGGAGGAAUUUUGCUAUAGUGUAUAUAGUGUAUAGUGUAUAAGAAAAGAAGAAAAGAAGAGGAGGAGAAGAGAAGAAAAGAAGAGGAGGNNNNNNNNNNNNNNNNNNNNNNNNNNNNNNNNNNNNNNNNNNNNNNNNNNNNNNNNNNNNNNNNNNNNNNNNNNNNNNNNNNNNNNNNNNNNNNNNNNNNAUGAUUGAUUCAGGUUUCAAAGACGAGUUUGAUACACUUGUUCACAAUGUUGGACUUGAAGAAUUCAUCUCCGAUAAAUGUGAAUAGUAUACUACUCUCACUGCCUCUUUUGUUCGUAGAUUUAAAAUUUUAGCUGGCCGUGACACAUCAGUACUGUUUGAUCUCUAUGACAAAUCGUAUACCAUGGAUUUAGAGGAUUUCAAUAGAAAUUGCAAGAUACCUGAUUGGGGUAGUCUCAAUGAUCCUCCUAAAUCUUCGGUUAGAGAUUUUUUCUCUAGUACAACUGUUGGAAAAACUAGAGAUAUUACGCAGACUACCAUGGGGAGCAUUCAUUUUCCUGCCUUGCAUUACUUUGCCUUCUUCAUAGGUAGAUGCAUUAACGGCAAGAUUGAGAAUUGUCACCUCUGCGCACCCGACCUUAGUAUUCUUAAGAGCGCAGUAACGGGUGAUAGAAGUUUCAACAUGGGAGCUAUAAUCACGAGGAGGCUAAAUUAUAAUGCUAAUGAAGGGGAUUUCUUUGGUGGGAUCUAGCCACUCGCAUAGCAAAUUUUCUUGGAGUACCCAUCUGCGAAGGAGAUCCCCCGCUCCAUACAACUUUCCUUGAUCGUGCCGCUAUGACACGCUAUCAGUUCCUUGAGAGGGAUAAUGAAUCCCUCCUAUACCGGUUAAUAUUUAACCGACAGCGUGUUUUCCAUAUCACCCUUCCUGCUCCUGCCUUCUUUGACUUUCAGGUAAAACAAAGAUAUUACAUAACCAGAGGAGAGGCACAGGAGUAUGAGAGGGAGGCAAAGGCUGCUCACCUCCGUGAGGCAGAUAUUCAGGCAGUGGCUGCCGCGUUCCCGUACAACCCCCAUUAUGAUUUUGGAUAUCGCCCGGACCAGCCAUGGGAGUAGACCAACUUAGGCCAAAAGCCUAAGCUUGGGGGAGUACGUGUUUCUCACCGACUUUAUAUUCUUGUUCACACUUUCACUUUGUUAGUCGGUGUUCACACUUUGCCACUGUAUCAUCCAUGCUAGUUUAUUUAUUUUUCUCGCUUUCUUCUCGUGUGUUUAUCUAGUUUGAGAAAACCCCAAAAGAUUUGUCGUUCUUCUUUUGCUUGUUGGGAGCUUUCCCGUGUAAAUAGUUUUCUUUUUCUUUGGGUCAAGGUAGAAGACCAUGGUUACAAUGUUUAGUGGCUCUCGCAUGCAUAUCUAUUUAUCUGUCAAAGAGCCAUAUUGCUUUGUCUUCUUCUUUGUGUUUGCUUGCAGAUUCCAGCUUAGUCCAAUGCACGAGCACUCUUAUUAUUGUUCACAUCAUUCGGUCGUGCAAGUGGAAGGCAAUAAUGACGAUAUAUGAUGAAGUGACUGAGCCUGGAAAAGCUGGUAUGAACUCGAUCUAUUUUGUUUUUGUAAAUAUGACUAGCUCAUCAUUCCUGAUUCAGCUUUGUUAUGAGAGAGGCAUGUUUGCAAUGACAACUUAGAGAUCAUAGUUUCUGAUGCCAUGCUUAAUUAGCUAGGAGCUUAUAAUGGUUUGUCUUGGAUGCCAACAUGAAUUUUGAGAUGAUUAUGAUGUAGUAUGAUAGGAUGGUAUCCUCCUUUGAAUGAUUCAAGUGGCUUGACUUGGUGCAUGUUUACGCAUGUAGUUGAAACAAAAUCAACAUAGCCUAUAUGAUAUUCAUGUUCAUGGUGAUUUAUGUCCUACUCAUGCUUGCACCCAAUGUUGGUUAAUCUCAAUGCAUUUUGAUGACUGUUGUCGCUCUCUAGUUGGUCGCUUCCUAGUCUUUUGCUAGCCUUCACUUGUACUAAGUGGGAAUACUACUUGUGCAUACACUUCCAUAAAUCCAAAGUUGUUCCAUAUAUAUGAGUCCACCAUACCUACCUAUAUGCGGUAUCUACCUGCCGUUCCAAGUAAAUUUGCAUGUGCCACUCUCUAAACCUUCAAGAAAUAAUCUGUUUUGCAUGCCCGAACCGCUCAUGUGGCGACAAGGGGCGAUCAGUAUCUUCCAUGCUAGGCCUGUUAUCCUCGAUAUGUGUUUAUUCACUAUCAUUCACGAGAAAGGGGCCGGUAAUGGGAAUGCCCAGUUCCAUGCUUAAAUCGAAAAGAUAAUUGCAAACAAAACUCCCCCUAGAUUGUUGUUGGUAUGGACGGCACCCGAGUAUUCGGCUAGUCGUGGAGUGUGAUUGAUCGGUGGUGGGCGAGUCAAAACUUUACUUUUCUGUUUGGGAACCGCCUAUAGUAUGUGUAGCAUGAAAGAUGGUGAAAACUCUUGGUCAUUGCAUUGACAAUGAAAGCAUGCCACCCAAAAUUAUUUAUCUCUGUUUUCAAAGCAUGAGCUCUCGCACCUCUGCAAAUCAAUGCCUCCCUCUGCGAAGGGCCUGUCUAUUUAUGUUUCUGUUGAGUCAUCCUCCUCUUAUAAAAGCACCAAUUAGAGAGCACCUCUUUCAUUUGUAUGCUUUGCUUUUAAUUGAUAUUGAGUAUGACUGUGACUGGAUCUUCUUUGCCAUGAAUUACAAUAUUCAGUCAGCCCUUGGUCUUUGAAGGUGCUCUGCAUUUAUGUUUUGCGGUCUGAAAAAGAGCUAGCUAGAUACCAUCUGUUCAUAUUGCUUCAUGAUUGUUUUGAUUGAAGUGUUGACGUUUGAAACUUAUUAUUAUUGCUCGCUAGUUGAUUAUGCCAUUGAUAUGAGUUCCUCUUGAGAUUAAAUGUCAUUGCUUAUGUGGUUAGCUUAUGAUCUUGCUGAAAAUCUGAAUAUGAGUUAGACAUAAUUGCAUCAACAAGAUCAAACAUAGUUCGUAAAAGUUUUUCUUUUGUCUCUUUCAGUUUGUCAACUGAAUUUCUUGAGGACAAGCAAGGCUUUAAGCUUGGGGGAGUUGAUACGUCUCCGUCGUAUCUACUUUUCCAAACUCUUUUGCUCUUGUUUUGGACUCUAAUUUGCAUGAUUUGAAUGGAACUAACCCGGACUAACGCUGUUUUCAGCAGAAUUGCCAUGGUGUUGUUUUUGCGCAGAAAUAAAAGUUCUCGGAAUGACCUGGAAAUUUACGAGGAUAUUUUGUGGAAUAUAAAAAAAAUACUGGCGCAAGAAUCAACCAGAGGAGUGGAGCGAGGAGCCCACAAGCCCACCAGGCGUGGCCUCCCUGGCCGUGCCUAGCAGGCUUGUGGGCCCCUUGGAGCUCCACCGCCUCCAACUCCAGCUCUAUUUAGUCCCUUUCGUGCGGAAAAAAAUCAAGGAGAAGAUUUCAUAGCGUUUUACGAUACGGAGGCGCCGGCACCUCCUGUUCUUCCUCUUGAGGGCAGAUCUGGAGUCCGUUCUGGGCUCCGGAGAGGGGAGAUCAUCGCCAUCGUCAUCACCAACCUUCCUUCAUCGUCGAUUCCAUGAUGCUCUUCACCGUUCGUGAGUAAUCUCAUCGUACGCUUGCUGGACGGUGAUGGGUUGGAUGAGAUCUAUCAUGUAAUCGAGUUAGUUUUGAUGGGGAUUGAUCCCUAGUAUCCACUAUGUUCUGAGAUUGAUGUUGCUACUACUUUGCCAUGCUUAAUGCUUGUCACUAGGGCCCGAGUGCCAUGAUUUCAGAUCUGAACCUAUUAUGUUGUCGCCAAUAUAUGUGUGUUUUAGAUCCUAUCUUGCAAGUUGCAGUCACCUACUAUGUGUUAUGACCCGGCAACCCCGGAGUGACAAUAGCCGGAACCACUACCGGAGAUGACCAUAGUAUGAGGAGUUCAUUUAUUCACCGCGUGUUAAUGCGUUGGUCCGGUUCUUUAUUAAAAGGAGAACCUUAAUAUCCCGUAGUUUCCAUUAGGACCCCGCUGCCACGGGAGGGAUGGACAAUAGAUGCCGUGCAAAUUCUUUUCCCUAAGCACGUAUGACUACAUACGGAAUACAUGCCUAUAUUAGAUUGACGAACGGGAGCUAGUUACAUAUCUCUCCGUGUUAUAGCUGUUACAUGAUGAAUCACAUCCGUCACACUCAUCCAUCACCGAUCCAUUGUGUGCGAGUCUUUUACUACUGGUUCUCGCUGCGUUACUUUGUCUAAGCUUGUCCCUAGCUACAAAAGGAUUGGGCCACUUUGCUGCUGCUGUCACUACUGCUGUUACUUGUUACUUUGCUGCUGCUGUCACUACUGCUGUUACUUGUUACUCCGCUGUUACUUUUGCAAGACUUUGUUGGCGCUAACAUCCCGUCAACAAGGCUUUUUCUGGCGCCGUUGCCGGGGAUUGUCAAAGCUUUUUCUGGCACCGUUGCUAUCGUACUACCUUGCUACUGAUACUUUGCUUGCAGACACAAAUCUUUCAGGUGUGGUUGAAUUAACAACUCAGCUGCUAAUACUUGAGAAUAUUCUUUAGCUUCCCCUUGUGAGCGAAUCAAUAAAUUUACUAGCAUGCUUCAUCAAUCCUACGCAAUCAACAAAGGUGGUCUAACUUGAGGAGCCCAAGAUCAUCAUCGUGAUUUAGCUCAAGUGGAGUAUGCGCAAGGCAAAGGUUUUACCUUGAUAGGUUUUCUAUUUUGCUUGUCUCAUGGUGUCAGUUGGGAGCCUGGUUCUCGCGCUUCACCAGCUACCUGUACGGCCUCAAGCAGGCGCCGCGAGCCUGGUUCNNNNNNNNNNNNNNNNNNNNNNNNNNNNNNNNNNNNNNNNNNNNNNNNNNNNNNNNNNNNNNNNNNNNNNNNNNNNNNNNNNNNNNNNNNNNNNNNNNNNUCAGCAGUUCAAAGCAUUCUGAGUAUGUAAAGCAUAAAACGGCUCAACAUCCAGUUCGCUAUGAGCAUAUCUCAUAAGUGUCGAAUUUGAUAACAUAUACUCCCUCCGUCCCAAAUAAGUGUCGCAAAUUUUGUACCAAGGUACAAAUUUAAUACUAAAGCAGCGACACUUAUUUUGGGACGGAGGGAGUAUUACAGUGAGAUCCCAAUACUGCUAUAAAUCAUUUACAGAUUGAGAAGAUUAUACAUAAGCACAUAACCACAAAUUGUAGAAAGAGAGGUCAUAUUUAAAAAGAAAAUGGGAGGCUCAGAGUUGGCCCAGUCUAUCAUAUGGGCAAAACCAACUCUGUAUCCGAUCCACUGUGUGACAAUUCGGUAUUGAAAUGGUAGCUCACAGAAAGCAAGCUCUCCCGAUUUGCACGCUUACACCUGGUCACACAAAACCCUAACCCUAAACAAUACCAUGAAAACAAGCGAUGGUAUCUGAUCUCAGUACCACCUCUAAAUGAGCCUUACUCAUCAUCGCCAUCAACAGCACUUGGCAAAAUCACAAAGAGAAUAGCAGAGAAGCCAAUAGUCAAAGAGCGCAAGAUGACCAUAAACCACAGGAGAAUCGGUGAAAGCAGAAAGAAACACUACAUCAGGAGCAAGUCAUGAACUGGUAGACACAAAAACCGGGACAUGUAAAAGUAAAUGGCUCAGAUAUACCACCAUCUUGACACCAUGAGUGAACAUCUUAUAUUUGUGAACGGAGGGAGUAAUAGUUAGCCGCUGAACUGGUUACUUGCUAUGACACAAGCCAUCCUAGUUUAGCACCAAGUAAUCAAUUCAGGUGUUGGACAGAAGCUCUCGCAGGGAAGCUAUAUCAUCAUAGCCAUUCAUAAACAUUACAUGAAGGAAACAGUAAUCUUAACUUGCCCUAUACGACCCUUAAGUUGAAACCAGUAAAGAAGUAACGAGAAACCAAAGGUACAAACUGAUAAGUAGAUAAAGAGUACAGCAGAAGAAUGAAUUUAUCAAGUCAAAUAGCAAUUGAAACAAGCAAACUGACCCAACACCAAAUAAGAUAGUUUCAAGAACAAUCCAACGGACAGCGGAGUUAUCAUAGCCAUUCAGGAAAAAAGAAGAACAGAAGACAACAAUAAGUGCGGCUAGAGUACUGUUCCCAAAACAACAGAACUGGUUGACGUACCGCAAAACCAAUAAAAUGUGUAGGAAAAAAUUGAAUAAUCAAAGANNNNNNNNNNAUAAGGGUCAAAAUUAGGUCGGAUAAGAUACAGAACAUCUACAGCUAAGUACAGUAUCAGCAGCUGGAAGGCCAUUAGAGCUCACAAGAGAGAAGAGAUGGUAAUUACGAUUUAAGGGCCUCUUUGGAACGCAAGUGUAGUUUCAUAUGUAUUCCCUCCACAUUCAGUAAGAGCUCAAGCGGAGAGGGAUUCAAAGUUCCCAGCCACAGCAGGUCAUGUCCAGCGGAACUGAAUUGUGAAAAUUCCAUCAGGUAGUACACCCAAAUUCCCAGCCGCCCCACGAUCCACACCGCAAGCCGCCAGCCCCUGAUGUUUCAUCUGCGGCGGCUGCCCGAGGGAGGGAGGGAGGGUCCAAAACAAAAUGCAAUUAAAAGGUGAAAAAUUGAUGGUUCAGUUUUGUCUUUCAUCUUCAAACCCAGCACUCACUCUCUUGCUGCAUAAUCCACCCAUCAUGAUGUAAUAGAACUGCCCUGGUUAUCACUCAUCAGAACGACCGUCCGAGGCACAGAACAUACAACAUCAUAGAUGAAUUGAACAGGCUGCAAGAGAGGUAAGGGUGAGCCGGAAUCGGUGACCCUUGUUCUGUGAGAUAAUCUAAGACAGCCAAGCGCUCAUUCUGGUCAAACACAAUAAGGUCCAUGACAGCCUUAUACAAGCCAGGAUGUGUUUCAGCAUGACAGGUGUUGUUGAUGGCACGUGCAAUCUCACGCAUAGCAUCAGUCAUGUUGCUACACUGGAUAGUCUUCCUUAGUCAAAACAGAUGUCCUCUUUCUCUUCUUAGUUGAAGUAGGUGAAGGAUCCUGAGUGGCACUAGCAGUAGGAAGUACAAAGUUAGAUCCACUAGGAACAUGUUCAAAUACCUCAUCAGUUGUUCCUUGUCCCUCCAUGACUUUGGAUUUGUCUUUGGCUUCCACAACAAUAGGUUUUCCCAGUGGGACACCAGUGGCCAUUGCAUAACCCCCCGAGCAAGCAAUAUUUGGCAUAGAUAGCUGCUGGUUGGUGAGUGAACAGAGGAGAUGAGAGGGAGGGAGAUUGGAGGAAAGAGGAGGGAGGACGGCGGCGGAGCUACCUUGGGCUCGGUCAGGGCCGAGCAGGAACCGCGUCGCAGCCUGGGGCGAGGCCGGCGGCGGAGCUGUCUUUGAUCGCUCAAGGAAUGAUUAUUUCAGCCAGAGUCAUCAUCAUCGCCCCUCAUUUUUUUCCCCAAAAGGAGGUUGAUCUCCCGACUGGGCUCUACACACCAAGCAACAUGACCACGAUACCCAUUACAUGCAUGCAAACAUCCAUCCAUCCAUCCUCUUUAAUUACUUGUCACACCACCUUUUUUGCGUAUGUGGCUUGUAUGUUACUCCCCUUCCAUAAUUCCUGUUGUGGUUUAAGUUACUCCCACUAUGACUAGUCUCAGUCUCAGGAGCUGCUCAUGCCCAGCGUCAGCUGACCAAACCUCCGGCUCAUAUGACACAUCAGACAACACUGUACUGUUCCCAGCCCACGCCACAACCAAAUCCAAGGCAACGGAAUGGCGGUGGCUGGCAGCACCGUAGAUUCGGGGAACUGAUGUGGCAGCCACCCAGACGACAGAGUCAGCGAGUCGGCAAUGAGAGCUUGACUGAUUUGUUUUAGAGUUUGAGAGAGAGAGAGAGAGAGAGANNNNNNNNNNGGCUCUAAGGGCAUCUCCAACGAGGUCACCGAUUCCGGCUCUAAUUAGUACCCACACACCACAGCUGUCUUGAUUGCUCAAGGCAUGAUUAUGUCGGCCGGUGACAUCAUCAUCGCCCCUCAUUUUUUUCCCAAAAAGGAGGUUGAUCCCUCGGCUGGGCUCUAUACACCAAGCAACAUGACCACGAUACCCAUUACAUGCAUGCACACAUCCAUCCAUCCAUCCUCUUUAAUUACUUGUCACACCACCUUUUUUGCGUAUGUGGCAUGUAUGUUACUCCCUCCGUUACAUAAUUCCUGUUGUGGUUUUAGUUCAAGUUCAAAUUGAACUAAAACCUAAGUUACUCCCACCUAUGACUAGUCUCAGUCUCAGGAGCUGCUCAUGCCCGGCAUCAGCUGACCAAACCUCCGGCUCAUUCGACACAUCAGACAAUACUGUACGGUUCCCAGCCAACCCCACAACCAAAUCCAAGGCAAUGGAAUGGCAGUGGCAGGCAGCACCGUAGAUUCAGGGAACUGAUGUGGCAGCCACCCAGACGACGGGUCAGCGAGUCGGCAAUGAGAGCUUGACUGGUUUGUUCUUCUUCUUCUUCUUCGCAGGGAGGGAGAGAGAGAGAGAGAGAGAGAGAGNNNNNNNNNNGAACAAAAUGCAACUGAACCGAGUUUAUGUAACGUAGCAAGAGAGGGCUCAGUUUUGCAUUUCAUCUUCAAACCCAACACUCACAUCUCUUGCAGCAUAAUCCACCCAUCACAAUGUAAGAGAACUGCCCUGGUUAUCACUCAUCAGAACGACCGUCCAAGGCACAGAACAUCCAACAUUGGCGAUGAAUUGGACAGGCUGCAACAGAGGUAAGGGUGGGCUCUAAGAGCAACUCCAACACAGACACCAAUUUUCAGGCACUAUUUAGUCCCACCUCGCCAUGGCUGUCUUGAUGUCUCAAGACAUGAUUAUUUCAGCCACAGUAAUCAUCAUCGGCAUCGCCCCUCUUUUUUAAUCCAAAAAGAGGUUGAACCCCAAAGCAACAUGACCAUGAUAUCCAUACAUACAUAUGUACUCCCUCCGUUCCAAAAUAUACUCCCUCUGUUCGAGAUAAGUAUCGUGGCUUUAGUUCACGACACAUGACCUGCAUUCAUCCAUCCUGCUAACUCUACCGUUCAAACAGGGCCUUCAUCACACAGUAGCACUAACUUUAACCUCUAACCUCUAGCUAAGUUAGAGUAUCCAAACAGGGCCUUCAUCACACAGUAGCAUCCAUCCAUCCAUCAAACUGGUCAUAGUGGUGAGUAACUUAGACAGUCUCAGGAGCUGCUCAUACCUAACGUCAGCCGACCAAACCUCCGCCUUGAACGACACAUCGGAACAAAACUCUACGGUUCCCAGCCCACGCCACAACCGAAUCCAAGGCAGUGGAAUGGCAGGCUGGCAGCACCGUGGCAACAGGGAACUGAUGUGGCAGCCACCCGGACGGUGGGUCAGCGAGUUGGCAACGAGAGCUUGACUGAUUUGUUUUAGGGUUAAAGAGAGAGAGAGAGAGAGAGAGAGAGAGUGGAGGGAUGCCAGCACUGGCCAUGUGGGUGACAGUGUCGUUGGCCAGCCUGGUGCGUGGACUCGGGGUCCGAGCGACGGCUCCGGAUUUGGUUGCUGGGUUGCUGGGUGUCGGCUCUAGUUGCUCCCUCUGUUCCAAAGUAUACUCCCUCCGUUCCAGAUAAGGCUGGUCGUAAUAGAGAGUAUCAUAUACUAGUAUUAUGCAUAUGAUACUACAUCCGUAAUGCAUAUUAUAAUCUGUUAAUAGUAUCAUAGGGUGGUUCAUUUAUUGCCAUGCAUGACACAUACUCAACUUCAUUUAAUUCUAUGAAGAAUCAUCAAAAUUGCCUACUUAUGAUACUCCCAUUACAAACAGCCUAAGUAUCGUGGUGUUAGUUCACGACACAUGACCUGCAUCCAUCCAUCCAGCCAGCUCAGGAGCUGCUCAUACCUGGCCUCGACCGACCAAACCUCCCGCUCCAACGACGCAUCAGACAACAGGGAACGGUUCCCAGCCCACGCGCACAGCCGAAUCCAAGGCAAUGGAACGGCGGUGGCUGGCGGCACCGUNNNNNNNNNNNNNNNNNNNNNNNNNNNNNNNNNNNNNNNNNNNNNNNNNNNNNNNNNNNNNNNNNNNNNNNNNNNNNNNNNNNNNNNNNNNNNNNNNNNNUGGCCCUCCUCCCCCUGCUGCCCUCCUCCCCCUGUGGCCUCUCCUCCCCCUGCGGCCCUCCUCCCCCUUUCGGUUAGUUUUUUUCUUCUUUUUUUUAAUAGUUUUUGCCUAAUUAGUUAUAUGUUUUAGUGAGGUUUUGGCUUAGUUUUAGUUUAGUUCAGGUUUAGUUUUAGUUUAGGUUUAGUUAGGUUAGUUUCCUGUUUAGUAAAGGAGAAAAGGAGAAGAAGAAGAAGGAGAAAGGAGAAGAUGAAGAAGGAGAAAGGAGAAGAUGAAGAAGGAGAAAGGAGAAGAAGAAGAAGGAGAAAGGAGAAGAACAAGAAGGAGAAAGGAGAAGACAAAAAUAAGAAGAAGAAGGAAAAGAAGAAGAAGGAAAGGGAAGGGAAGGAGAAGAAAGAAGAAGAAGAAGAAGAAGAAAAAUAGGAGAGGAAGAGAAGAAUAAGAGGAAAAAACAAAAUAAGAAGAAGAAGAAGAAGAAGAAGAAGAAGAAGAGAAGAAGAAAACAAGAAGAAGGAGAAGAAGAAUAAGAGGAAAAAAGAAAAAAGAAAAUAGGAAUAAUAAUAAUAAUAAUAAUAAUAAUAAUAAUAAUAAUAAUAAUAAUAAGAAGAAGAAGAAGAAGAAGAAGAAGAAGAAAAUAAGAAGAAGGAGAAGAAGAAUAAGAGGAAAAAAGAAAAAAGAAAAUAAGAAGAAGAAUAGGAAAAAAGAAAAAAGAAAAUAAGAGUUAGGUCACAUAUUUUUGAUUAUCUUAUAAAAACAUCAUAUUUGUGUGUUGAUCGGGUGAAUUUCAAUGUGCAGUUGUUCGACGACCUCCACGUGCGUUGGACGAGCUCCACCCCUACGCUUGUUGGUGAGCACAAAUGACUUCUCCUCCUACCCCCUUAAUUUGCUCUAUCUCGGUCCUCGUGCCGAUGAAACUUGCUAGCUAUAUAUAGUUUUCUUCAAUCAUGAGUAUGCGUGACCAGUAUGCGUCUCCCAUUCGAAAGGGCGACAUCUAUAAAUAUGCAUGUCUUUGCAUAUUUAUAACCGCCAUCCUUUGGAAUUGUCCAACAUUAUCCAUGGACAGCCCGAGUAUGUGUAGAUUGGGUUUGUUUUCCCGUAUGUUGUGCUCUGGAUCCGAUGCGGAAUUUCGUCAGUGCCUCCCUGUUGUUCUUCGGAUGCACAUCCUCUCUGUUUAUUGCGGAGGUGUGUAUCAGGCGAAUAGUUGGGAGGUGCUGCCGAAAUUUUGCGUUGGAUCCGGAGCAGAGCAUGGGAAAACGAACCCAAUCUACACAUACUCGGGUGGGAUUAGGACCUAUCUUUACCUAUUAGCGUGUAGGUUGCCUGGACGUAAUAAAAAUGGCGAACCUGAUUAACCGAUGAAUAUAAAUGCUAAAUUAUAUAUAAAUAUAUUUCUUCUGUCUUUAGUAGCUACGCAAGAUGAGUGAUCGUGCGUGGAUGUAUACCGGUCACCCUAGUCAGAAAGAGAUGACGAAAGAAUGGUUUGUAAAAACAAAGGAAUUUGUGAAAGCCGCAUUCGCAACUGGCGAGGAAAGAAACUAUUGCCCCUGUCCUGGAUGUGACAACUAUAAAAAGACGACAGCGGCUGUAAUGAUUAAACACCUGCAGAGGAGGGGUUUUAAGCCUAAUUAUACGGUGUGGACAUUUCAUGGUGAGUCUAUACAACGCACAAGAGCUGAGGUGGUCCGUCGUCGCACGGACGAGCAUGGUACCGGGAUCGAAGACAUGGUGCAAGACUUUGAUGAUGCUCGGGAUUCGAAAGAUGAGAUGGAGGAAUAUGCAAAGGCCUUUUAUGAAAUGUUGGAGUCUUCAAAACGUCCUCUUCAUGAGCACACUGAGCUCUGUCAGUUGGAUGCAAUUGCACAAGUAAUGUCUCUGAAGGCUCAGUUCAACUUGGGAAGAGAAUGCUACGACGCGAUGAUGACACUAUUUGGACGUUUCCUACCCAAAGGCCAUGUCAUGCCUGCAAACCUGUACCAGUCGGACAAAAUACUUCGUGUACUUAAGAUGCCCUAUGAGAAGAUAGAUGCAUGUGAGAAAGGAUGUGUCUUAUUUAGGAAGGAGUAUGCACACUUGGACUAUUGUCCCAAUUGCGAGUCUUACAGGUAUCUUGGGGUAGACAACGGUAUGGGUGAGAAGNNNNNNNNNNNNNNNNNNNNNNNNNNNNNNNNNNNNNNNNNNNNNNNNNNNNNNNNNNNNNNNNNNNNNNNNNNNNNNNNNNNNNNNNNNNNNNNNNNNNCUGUGUUCAGAAGACAUCAAUCCAAGUCCAGAUGGGCCGUUACUCACAUCAACACAAUAUAGAGGAAUAGAAAAAAAAAACAAUGCAUAUUAAAGAAGGUAAAAUCAAAUAUUUGUAGCGUAGCGAAAGAGGGCUCAGUUUUGCCUUUCAUCUUAAAGCCUGACACUCACAUAGCUUGCUGCAUAAUCUACCCAUUGCGAUGUAAGAGGACUGUCCUGGUUAUCAUUCAUCAGAAUGACCGUCCAAGGCACAGAACAUCCAACAUUAGCUAUGAAUUGAAUUGCUGCAAGAGAGGUAAGGGUGCGCUCUAAUUUAGUAGCCACAGACCACAGCUGUCUUAGUUGCUCAAGACAUGCUUAUUUCAGCCAUGGUCAUCAUCAUCGCCCCUGGUAAGAACUCCAUCUCUUCAUCACACAGUAGCAUCCAUCCAUCCAUCCAUCAGACUGGUCAUAGUGGUGAGUAACUUAGACAAUCUCAGGAGCUGCUCAUGCCCGGCGUCAGCUGACCAAACCUCCGGCUCGUAUGACACAUCAGACAACACUGUACGGUUCCCAGCCCACGCCACAACCAAAUCCAAGGCACAAUGGAAUGGCGGUGGCUGGCAGCACCGUAGAUUCGAGGAACUGAUGUUGCAGCCCCCCAGACAGACGACGGGUCAGCGAGUCGCAAUGAGAGCUUGACUGAUUUGUUUUAGGGUGAGUGUGAGUGUGUGUGUGUGUGUGUGUGAGAGAGAGAGAGGGGGGGGGAGGUGAAGAGGAUCCAUGCCAAAUCCAGAACAAAAUGCAACUGAACUGAGUAUAUGUAGCAUAGCAAGAGAGGUCUCAGUUUAGCAUUUAAUCUUCAAACCCAACACCCACAUCUCUUGCUGCAUAAUCCACACAUCACAAUGUAAGAGAACAGCCCUGGUUAUCACUGAGAUGGCCGCAUGCUGCCGAUGGUUUCCGACUGAACCAAUGUACAUGCCCUCAUCAGAACAACCGUCCAAGGCACAGAACAUCCAACAUUGGCGAUGAAUUGGACAGGCUGCAACAGAGGUAAGGGUGGGCUCUAAGAGCAACUCCAACGCAGAUACCCACUUUCAGACACUAUUUAGUCCCACCUUGCCACGGCUGUCUUGAUGUCUCAAAGACAUGAUUAUUUCAGCCAGUCAUAAUUAUGGGCAUCGCCCCUCUUCUUUAUCCAAAAAAGAGGUUGAACCCCCAAGCAACAUGACCAUGAUAUCCAUACGUACAUACAUACUCCCUCCGUUCCAAAAUAUACUCCCUCCGUUCCAAAAGAGGUGUCGUGGUGUUAGUUCACGACACAUGACCUGCAUCCAUCCAUCCAGCUCAGGAGCUGCUCAUACCUGGCCCUCGACCGACCAAACUUCCCGCUCCAACGACGCAUCAGACAACAGGGAACGGUUCCCAGCCCACNNNNNNNNNNNNNNNNNNNNNNNNNNNNNNNNNNNNNNNNNNNNNNNNNNNNNNNNNNNNNNNNNNNNNNNNNCAAUGCGCGCACGCACGCACGCACCGAGAGAGAGAGAGAGAGAGAGAGAGAGAGAGAGAGAGAGAGAGCUUGCACGCACGCACCGGAUCCAAAGAAAAAGAAGCCAGGCUACGCGAAAUCCAUCGACGGCGACUCAGAUCCUGCGCCGGAAACCGCCGCUCGGUCCCCAGCCCGCACGGCCGCGGACGUCUCCCGCACCGGCGGCAGCCCCGAGGNNNNNNNNNNGGGCAAUGGAACGACGGUAGCUGGCGGCACCAUAGCUGUGGGGAACUGACGCGGCGGACAUAGGCCAGCGAUCCGGCAACGAGAGCUCCCCUGAUUUGGUUUAGGGUNNNNNNNNNNNNNNNNNNNNNNNNNNNNNNNNNNNNNNNNNNNNNNNNNNNNNNNNNNNNNNNNNNNNNNNNNNNNNNNNNNNNNNNNNNNNNNNNNNNNUGGUAAGGAGACCUGAAGGAUUGGAAUAUCACCAAAGAACUAGCAAUGGUUUCGAAAGGCUUCAAGUACUAUUUUCAGAUUCUUGUUGAUGCCAUUUUUCAGUUUUUUGGUCCUAUUUUCGCAUACAUUGUCAAUUUUCUGUUCGUAUUUGCCAUUGUAGUCCUCCUUAACUUCCACCAUCGAUGCUUGCCAUCCCUACGUCCUUAUAAAGCUUCAUCUGCGAGGGAGAGGCAUCGAUGAGGAAGGAUGCUGGUGGUGAUGCGUGCCGUCUCCCCUGGCUUCGGACCUUCGCUUCAUGGGGCCACCCCUCCAGUCGUGCCCUGUGCGCUAACGCAUUGGCUUGGGAGGCCACCUCGGGCAGCCGCCGCAGCUGAAACAUCAGGGGCUGGCGGUUUGCGGUUUGCGGUGUAGAUCGUGGGGCGGAGUACUCCCGUGGCUGGGAAGUUGGGUGUACUCAGCGAGAUCUCAGCUACUUUGAUGGAUUUUUCACGAUUCAGUUCCGCUGGACCUGAGCUGCUGUGGUUGGGAACUCUGAAUCCCCCUCCACUUGAGCUCUUACUGAAUGUGGAGGUAAUACAUGUGAAACUACACUUGCGUUCCAAAGAGGCCCUUAAAUCUUAAGUACCACCUCUUCUCUCUCGUGGGCUCUAAUGGUCUUGCAGCUGCUGAUACUGUGCUUCGCUGCAGAUGUUCUCUAUCUGAUCCGACCUAAUUUUCACCCUUACCUGUUGCAUGCGCAAAGGGAUCUUUGAUUAUUCAAUUUUUUCCUACACAUUUUAUUGGUUUUGCGGUAUGUCAACCAGUUCUGUUGUUUUAGGAACAGUACGCUAGCCGCACUUAUUGUUGUCUUCUGUUCUUCGUAUUUCCUGAAUGGCUAUGAUAACUCCGCUGUCCCUUGGACUGUUCUUGAAACUAUCUUAUUUGGUGUUGGGUCAGUUUGCUUGUUUCAAUUGCUAUUUGACUUGAUAAUUUCAUUCUUCUGCUGUACUCUUUAUCUACUAUCAGUUUGUACCUUUGGUUUCUCGAUACUUCUUUACUGGUUUCAACUUAAGAUUACUGUUUCCUUCAUGUCAUGUUUAUGAAUGGCUGUGAUGAUAUAGCUUCCCUGCGAGAGCUUCUAGCCAACACCUGAAUUGAUUCACUUGGUGCUAAACUAGGAUUGUUUGUGUCAUAGCAAGUAAUCAGUUCAGAGGUUAACUAUUACUCCCUCCGUUCACAAAUAUAUGAUGUUGUUCAGUCAUGUUGUCAAGAUGGGGGGUAUAUCUGAGCCAUUUACUUAUACAUGUCCCAGUUUUUGUGUAUACCAGUUAAUGACUUGGUCCUGAUGUAGUGUUUCUUUCUAUUUCUACUGAUUCUCCUAUUAUUUCUGGUCAUCUUGUGCUAUUUGAUUAUUUGCUUCUCUGUUAUUCUCUGUAAGUGAUUUAUGAGAUAUGCUCAUACGAACCGGAUGUUGAGCCAUUUUAUACUUGCAUACUCAGAAUGCUUUGAACUGCUGAUGCAUCAAGAGAUUCUAUGUUGGAGUGUAGCGUUUCGGUGGCCAGGCUCAUCUGCACCCGGCCAGAAAAAAAUUCACAAAUGGUUCAAAAAAAAGACAAAUCAGGUCAUGAAGAAAUGAUUUUGUUUUUAAUUUUUCUAGUAUUUGUUUUGAUCUUUUUCGUCCACGCGGGUGCAUAUUAGCCUGAGUUCAGAAGUGGAUUAUCAGAGCUGCUUUUCAUUCAUGCAUCUGCACUAUGGCGCCUCAAGUGUCAGCAAGAAGAUACUACAUUUGGUCUUUGAUGUCAGCAUAUACUCCCUUGGUCCCACAAAGAUGUUUUUGCAAAUAGCUUGCAAAAAUGUCUUAUAUUAUGGGACGGAGGGAGUAUUUAUUUAGUUUUGAGUACCCAUUUAUAUGUGGUAUACGUCAUGUGCAACCUAAUCUGUGCAUUCCCUCGAUUUCUAUGCACCGGUGAUAUUUCCAGUAAUACCUGAUUUGAACUUCAUUUUGUUCUUUUGAACGUAAAACAUUGUACUCUACAUCUUGAACUCUUGUGUUCUUCCUCCAGCACAGUUUAAAAGGCCUGCACGUGUACCUAGGUCAUCAAUUUGACUUAUAUAAAAUAUUGUUUAACAUUAAAAUUACUCCCUCCGUUUCAAAAUAAGUGACUCAAAAAUGACUCUAUUUUGUACUAAACUUAGUAUAAAAGUGAGUCAUUUUUGAGUCACUUAUUUUAGAACGGAGGGAGUAUAUCAAUAGAAAAUAAAACAUCUAAAGUUUUAAUGAUAUAUUUUUUGUAAUAUAUGCCUUAUUAAGUUGGUCACAUUGACGACCUAGGUACAUGUGCCGGAUUUGUAAACUGAAACGGAGGGAGUAGUUAAUUCCUCAGCUCUCCGUGGGUUACUUUUGAACGACUAAUAACUUUGAUGACAUAUAAUUUUCAUGUAAUGCAGUAUACUGGAAUGUACAAGCAUAUACAGUGGGUAUUGACUAGAAAUCUCAAUAUUAGACAAUCACAAGCUACAAGCAUAUAAACUGGAUGGUUUGUCGUGGGCUAGCUCACAUGCACGCCGUGCACCACCAUGAAAUACUCACAGGUCUGGCGAGAGUUCCUGACGAUGCUCUGUCAUGCAUUCUGGUGAUGUAAUAAUAAGUAUCGUAAAUCCUAAAAAGUGCAGCUGCACUUUUUUGCAGUCCCGGGCACACACCCCUUCCGUCCGUCCGAAAUCCAUCCCGUGUCGCAUGCUCAGGUAGGCUACCUGGUCGGGAUCCCAUUGCCGCAUCUCCAUCGACGUCGAGAAUAGACAACAGAGUCGAGCUUCCUCCCACUCUCCCUGCCUUUCUUUCUUUGACUGAGCCGCCCUCAGGUUCUUCCUGAGGCCUUAAAUGGCGUGUCGUCAGAGAUCGACCCGCCAAGCCUUUGUUGCAUCUAGCCUCUCCCUUGACCCUUGCAUGCAUGUCAUUGCGUCGGCCUUGCUGGAUGUACGCCAGCCGCCCGCCUUGCUGCCGACGACCGUACUGGUUACAUCUAGGUCGUGGGGAGGGAGAUCAAGCGACGGAGGAGACGGUCAGGGCGUGGUCAGGGCGGGCAACGGCAAGGCCGCCUUGCUGCCGACGGCCGUAGUGGUUACCUCUAGGUCGAGGGGAGGGAGAGCAAGCGACGGAGGAGACGGCCAGGGCGGGCAACGGCAAGGCCGAGAGUGAUGCGCUGGGUAAAAGAGUCAGCCAUGGCACGGCGGCAGGGUCAUCCAAGGUGCGGUGCUGCAGAAUUUUCUGUAUUCAGAUAUCAUCAGUACCGUGAUGACCACUGCUAGCAAUUCAAAGAAUAUACAUGUCGUUUUGUGAGUCAAGUGAGAAGCUCGACGCAGGGCUGACGUUGCCGUAUUUAGGUGGUGUUUCUUUACCCAGGGACUAGACUAAAAAGUCCCUUUUAGUCUCUAGGUAAAGAAACAGGAGGGACUUUUUCUUAAGGGACUACAAAAAGACUUUAUUGAAGGGACUUUUUUCUUUAGUCCCUUGGACUAAAUAAAAGUCUAGUCCCUGGAAAAGAAACACCACCUUAUGCCUGAAGCUGGCAUACAAUUUGUAGGCGCGACAUGAAUUCAUCUCCAGUUUGGAUCAAUUACGGUCAAUUAAACAAGCUUGUUUAAGACAUGAAUUCACCUCUACUUUGGAUCAAUUACGGUCAAUUAAACAAGCUUGUUUAAAACAGGGGUACUAGUUGGAAUAUCCAUUUUGUACUUGAUGCAGGUGAACAUCAUGAGGGUGAGUAGGCCGCCAGACCGACAGAGGCAGUACUUUUCAGUUUACAACCUUCUCUUAAAAAAGUAGCAGCAACAUGCAGCAGUUUCAAACAAAUAAGAAGUUCUGAAAAUUCUAUGAAAUUCUUGUUCCAAAUGUUAAAAUUCUCAGUAUUUGGUUAGUGUUGUAUAUAGAAAAUUAAUGCAUGUGUAAUCUACACACGUCGAGUACAUCAACGUACCAUCAUUGUGAUUUUCUGUUUUCUUCGCACAAAAGCUCGCCCAACGCAUGAUAGGUAUUACCUCCGUCCCAAAUUAAUUGCCUUAGAUUUGUCAAGUUAUAGAUAUAUCUAAAAAUAAAUAAAUUUGUAUCUAAGUAAUUUAGGACAGAUGGAAUAGUUGCUAGCGACGCGGGCAAGAGUUGCAGAUCGACUCCCUAGAGCCGGCAAGUAAAGUGCGGCCUGUGCGUGGAGUCGUGGGUCACGUCAGUGUUUGGCAAGCCGAACGUGCGCGGGAUCCAGUGGGUUGGGCCGGUGUUUUGCCCACCAACCAUGUGCGAAAUCGGGGGGUUGGGGUAAAUUGAGUAUUUUGUGGAUCGGGGUUGCACCUUCGUGGCUUUGGGGGGAGUCGACGAACUGCGAGAUGUAGGGAGAUAGGUUGACGAAGGUUCCAUAAAAGGAGUUGGUUGAAGGAAGCGCCCAAGACUUGCCCAACACGUGAUAGAUAGUUGCCGGAGGUAGUGGUGUGAGUUGCCUAUAAAUUUGUAGUGCACCUAGUAAUUUUUUCCUAUUCUUCUCUCCCUGGGUAGCGGGUAUUUAAAAAAGUCACAAAUAGGGGUACUCCUAUUUGUAGUGAUAGUAUAAAAAAUAAUGUUAUUGUCGUCAUGUUUACUAGAGUUUUAGUAAAGAAANNNNNNNNNNUAAAAAAAUAGAUAGAAUGAAGAAGGGAGGAAAAAAUCUUGGAACUUACAAAAAAAAUGUAAAUUCCAUCACUUCAAAACUAUUCGAUCAACACACUUAAUUCUCUAUUAAAAAUCACAUUAUUAACACGAAGUUUCACAAAUAACAGAACAUUCUCAACGAUUUAUAUCAACAUCUCUCUCACAUGAGCAAAUUGCACAAAACCACCACAACUGUGCAAAAGUUAUCACCCACCCACCAAAAUGCAUGUUUUUCUCAUGGUUUUUCCUGAAGCAUUGAUAACUUUGACCCAAUUGUGAUGGUCUUUUGUAAUUUACUCCUCUGGCAUGUGUGUGCCUUCCUUCCGUCGCCGAUCAGCAUGCCCACCGGAUGAAACGUGCAAGAUCUGUCAUUGAGCUUCUCUUUAAAAGUAAUAAAAGCCAAAAGAAACAUUAUCAAUAGAGGUUAGUUUGCUCGUAGGAAUCUUUAUCCUAUUGAGAGCGACAUGCAACGUGCAUGCAUAACCAUGAAAAGUCUCUCACAAUCCCCUCAUGUCGCUUUCAAUCAGUCAUGAAAUCAAUUGUCCAUAUUUCCGCUUUAACUAUGCGUCGUUUCUUUUUGACGUCCAAUAAAUCUAGUUUUUCUGACGAUUCUGGAAGACCGUGCGCCCGGUUACCAUGCCCAUGUUCCAUGAAUUUUAUAUAGGCACACUCGACAUGGGCAGGAUUAACUAUGGAGUCAUUGCUCUCAUCCCCAAACUAGUUGGGGCUGUUGAGAUUCGUCAAUUCAGGCCUAUUACGGUGAUUAACGUGUUGGCGCGUAUUUUUGCUAAAGUCUGCGCCACUCGCGUGUCCCCUGUGGCCGAACGAAUUGCUCAUCCCCUUCAGUCCGCAUUCCUGAAGGGCAAGAAGAUUCAUGACGGGAUUCUUGCCCUUCACGAGGUUGUCCAUGAGGUGGCGUCCAAGGUAAUGAAGGGGGUCUUUCUCAAGUUGGACUUCCAGAAGGCGUACGACCGUCUUGAUUGGUCCUUCUUGAGGUUAGUAUUGCAGCGGCGCGGAUUUGACGAGAGGUGGUGUUCCUGAAUCAUGCAACUGGUUCGAUCUGAUAGCACCGCGAUCAAUAUCAAUGGUGAAGUUGGCCCCUUUUUUCGGGCAUCCAGGGGGUAAAGCAAGGAGACCCUAUCUGCCCCCUGCUCUUUAACCUCGCCGUGGACGCCCUUACUGGCAUCCUGGAUAAGGCAAGAUUAGCAGGGCAUAUCCAGGGGGUGGUUGGUCACCUCAUCCCGGGGGGUGGGGUUUCCCACCUCCAGUAUGCAGACGACACCAUGAUCAUGGUCUCUGGCUCCGACUCCGACAUUGCUAAUCUUAAGUUCCUUUUGCUCUGUUUCGAAGAAAUGUCUGGACUUAAGAUUAACUUUGAUAAGGGUGAGGUGAUGGUCCUAGGAUACUCUGAGGCUGAGCAACUCAGAAUUGCGGACAACCUCAACUGCAAGCUGGCGGCUUUCCCUAUCUCGUAUUUGGGAAUGCCCCUAGCGGAGUCUAGGAUUCUGGUUAGCGGGUUUGGUCCGCUUGUGGGACGAGUAGCGUCCCGUGCGGAACCCUGGUGUGGCAGGUUCACUUCUAAAGGUAGCAAAUCCAUUCUCAUUAGCUCGAACCUCGCAAGUCUCCCCAUGUAUAUGAUGGGGAUGUAUAUCCUGCCCGAAGGUGUGCACAGCGCCUUCGACAAGGAACUGGCUAGAUUCUUUUGGCAGGCAGGGGAUGGUAGGCCCAAGUAUCACAUGGUGAAAUGGGCUGACGUCUGCGUGCCAAAAGACCGAGGGGGCUUAGGCAUUCCUGCGUCCCGCCGCAUGAACGUGGCCCUGAUGCUCCGAUGGGUUCGGCGGAUUCUGCAGGCACUACAGGAAUCAGCUUCUUUGCCGUCUGCCAUCACAGACGGCAAAGACUAAACCCCGGACGGCAAAGAGAAUACCACAGACGGCAAAGAAUCUCACGGCCCGCAAAAUUUCUACGUCAGCCUACGACAGCAUCGUACCUUCUUUGCCGUCUGUCCCCACAAAGCGGACGGCAAAGCUCUUUGCCGUCAGCUUUUUAUAGGAGCAGUCGGCAAAGUGCUCAAGACGGCAGCCGACAGACGUUGCCUCCAUUAGGGGUUAACGGAGGCUUUGCCGUCUGCCUCCCCCUUAUUCUUUGCCGUCUGCCUCCCCCUUAUUAUUUGUCGUCUGCCUGCCCCUUAUUCUUUGUCGUCUGCCUCCUCCUCCUCCCCCCUCCACUCUUUGCCGUCUGCCUCCUCCUCCCCCCUCCUCUAUGCCCUCUUCUUUGCCGUCUGUCCACCCUGGAGGCAGACGGCAAAGAGCCUAUAUAGACACCCCAGGAUGCACACCUGGGUGCCAUGUGGCACCUUUGCCAUCUGCUAGCUGAUGGCACAGGUCUUUGCCAUCAGCUGGCAGACGGCAGAGAGCCCAUAUAGUACCUGUUUUUUUGUUUUAUAUUAUUUCAUAGCACACACAUAUAUAUGACACCACAUUUAUAUAAUUCACCACACAUAUAUGAUAUAUAGUUCACCACACAUAUACUUGCCAACACAUAUAUAUAAUUCACCGCACAUAUAUGAUAUACAUAUAAAUCAAUGUACAUCCCCAUAUAUCGAAAGAACCAACAUACAAAGUAUUGCACUUUUAUCCAUAUAUACAUAUACAUAUAGUUCGACAUUGUUCAUUAACUCAAAUGAAAACUAGAUAAUAUGCAUAUAAAGUCCAUCCAUCGACAUUGUUCAACUCCAUGAAUGCCAGCUUCCAUGCAUGUAGUAUAUCCAAUCUGCAAAAAUGUGAAUAAGAAAGUCAGAAGAAGAACAAAAUAUUAUGUUUUUGAGCUAAUUAUGUCAUUUUUAGCGGAAAACAAGCUAAGAAUAUAAUAUUCAUGAGCUAACAAAGGUUCUUGUGCCAUUUUUAGCUUAUUAUGGCAUUUUGGAGCUAAAUGGGUUAAUUAUGUCAUUGUUGGGGAAAUUAAAGCAAGGAUAAUAUGAAAGAGGAGAAGAAAGAGGAGGAGGAGGAGAAGAAGAAGAAAUCAAGAAGAAGGAGGAGAAGGAGGAGAAGGAGGAGAAGGAGGAGGAGAAGGACUAGAAGGUUAUUGGCCUUCUCCUCCUCCUCCUCCUCCUUCUCCUUCUUCUCUUCUUCUUCUUCUUCUUCUUUCUUUUUUUUCAUUUUUCCUAUUUAUUCUCCUCUUCUCCUCUUGUUGGAGCUAAAUCACCUAAUUAUGUCUUUUUGGAGCUAUAUGGGCUAAUUAUCCCAUUUUAGAGGAAAGCAGGCUAAGAAUAUAAUAUUCAUGAGCUAACCAAGGUUGUUAUGCCAUUUUGAACUUAUUAUGGCAUUUUGGAGCUAAAUGGGCUAAUUAUGUCAUUGUUGGGGAAAUUAAAGCAAGGAUAAUAUGAAAGAGGAGAAGAAAGAGGAGGAGGAGGAGAAAAAGAAGAAAUCAAGAAGAAGGAGGAGAAGGAGGAGGAGGAGGAGGAGAAGGACUAGAAGGUCCUUGGCCUUCUCCUUCUCCUCCUCCUCCUCCUCCUUCUCCUUAUUCUCUUCUUCUUCUUCUUCUUCUUCUUUCUUUUCAUUUUUCCUAUUUCUUCUCNNNNNNNNNNUAAUAAAGAGGAGGGGGAGAAGAAGAAGAAGAAAUCAAAAAGAAGGAGGAGGACGAGAAGGCUAGAAGGUCCUUGGCCUUCUCCUCCUUCUCCUCCUCCUUCUCCUUCUUCUCUUCUUCUUCUUCUUUCUUUUCAUUUUUCCUAUUUCUUCUCCUCUUCUCCUCUUGUUGGAGCUAAAUUACCUAAUUAUGUCUUUUUGGAGCUAAAUGGGCUAAUUAUCCCAUUUUAGAGGAAAACAAGCUAAGUAUAUAAUAUUCAUGAGCUAACCAAGGUUCUUAUGCCAUUUUGAGCUUAUUAUGGCAUUUCGGAGCUAAAUGGGCUAAUUAUGUCAUUGUUGGGGAAAUUAAAGCAAGGNNNNNNNNNNCCUAAUUAUGUCUUUUGGGAGCUAAUUGGGCUAAUUAUCUCAUUUUAGAGGAAAACAAGCUAAGCAUAUAAUAUUCAUGAGCUAACCAAGGUUCUUAUGCCAUUUUGAGGUUAUUAUGGCAUUUUGGAGCUAAAUGGUCUAAUUAUGUCUUUUUGGGGACAUUAAAGCAAGGAUAAUAUGAAAUAGGAGAAGAAAUAGGAGGAGGAGGAGAAGAAGAAGAAAUCAAGAAGAAGGAGAAGGAGGAGAAGGAGGAGGAGGAGAAGGACUAGAAGGUCAUUGGCCUUUUCCUCCUUCUCCUCCUCCUCCUCCUCCUUCUCCUCCUUCUCUUCUUCUUCUUCUUCUUCUUUCUUUUCAUUUUUCCUAUUUCUUCUCNNNNNNNNNNNNNNNNNNNNNNNNNNNNNNNNNNNNNNNNNNNNNNNNNNNNNNNNNNNNNNNNNNNNNNNNNNNNNNNNNNNNNNNNNNNNNNNNNNNNNNNNNNNNNNNNNNNNNNNNNNNNNNNNNNNNNNNNNNNNNNNNNNNNNNNNNNNNNNNNNNNNAGUUCUUAUGCCAUUUUGAGGUUAUUAUGGCAUUUUGGAGCUAAAUGGGCUAAUUAUGUCUUUUGGGGGAAAUUAAAGCAAGGAUAAUAUUAAAGAGGAGAAGAAAGAGGAGGAGGAGGAGAAGAAGAAGAAAUCAAGAAGAAGGAGGAGAAGGAGGAGGAGGAGAAGGACUAGAAGGUCCUUGGCCUUCUCCUCCUCCUCCUCCUUCUCCUUCUUCUCUUCUUCUUCUUCUUUCUUUUCAUUNNNNNNNNNNNNNNNNNNNNNNNNNNNNNNNNNNNNNNNNNNNNNNNNNNNNNNNNAAUGAGCUAACCAAGGUUCUUAUGCCAUUUUGAGGUUAUCAUGGCAUUUCGGAGCUAAAUGGGCUAAUUAUGUCUUUUUGGAGUUAAAUGGGCUAACUAUGUCAUUGUUGGGGAAAUUAAGGCAAGGAUAAUAUGGAAGAGGAGAAGAGAAACUUACCGUAGUGGUCAUCAAGGAGGAGAAACACGUGGAGAAGGGUCGUGCGAUGCCGCUCGGGAGUUAUUCUGCAGAAUAGAUAUUUUGCAAUGUCUCAGUUAGCGUGAUAACACUCAAUUAUUAAUACUAGUUUAUAAUGAAACUGACCGUGCCAAUCAAAGAGAAGACGGGCAUCGACGGAGGGACUUGACCGCUCUUCUCGCACAGACCCUCAAGAGUGGGUCGUAUUAGUUAGUAAUGAAACAGACAUUACACACAUGAUUUGGCUAAUGUGAAAAAAAACUUACCACAAAAAGCUCGUACAGGGCCCGUUGACCCGCCUCAUUCCGGUACCUCUCCUCCUCAAUCAAUCGUGUCGUGGUCUGGUCCCUCUCAUCAAGAGCAGCCUGACUUGCCAAUCUCUCUUUCUCAAGAGCAGCCUGACUUGCCAAUCUCUCUUUCUCAAGAGCAGCCUGGUUUGCCAAUCUCUCUUUCUGAAGAGCAGCCUGAAACACCAUUCCUCGUUACCACAAUAAUGAUCUAUGGUAACACACAUAAUGAAAUGGAUGAAAGUGUUCUUAGUCCGUACAACUAACCUCGAUGGCAAGUUCGACUGGCCGUGGACGACGCAUUAUCUCAGGACAGCUGCUCGACUGGCGCGCCUUGAUCUCCGGAAGAGUGAGUGGACAACGUAUUAUCCCAUCUCCAAUGGCUAUCGAGCCAUGGGGCCUCCCGCCACCAGAUAUCAUCACCAACUCUAGAUCCAAAGGUUCCUGGCUAGGGUUAAAGUCAUCCCCUUUCGUAGCCUUCCCCGCGUCCCUGUAUGCCACGAGCUUCUGGUGGGAUGAUAUGUUGGUGAAGUUAUUGGGAUCAUCCACGUCAGACUCAGAGAAUGCCUUCGCCUUCUUGUACGAGGCAGUAUGGGCCAUGCCAUAAAGGUCGUACAAGUGUGGCAUCUCCGUCUUAUUCUGAUGCGCCUAAAAGAGAGGAACAAAAUAUUAGCAUCAAGAAUGAAUUGCAUGAAUCAUGAAGCGUGAUCACAUACCCAGUUUCGUCCAAACUGAAGUAAGUUGGCGCUGCUUUGAUGGUGUGGCACACCAACCAUUUGGCUAUGCUGAUCCUUCGUAUUCUCGUGGACGGCUCGCCAGCUGCCUGUGCACCACUCAUCAACCAAUGCCUCCCAACACUAGUGGGGACAGGGCCUAUAGCCCCGGCCCGUAAGGGGCUUUAGUCCCGGUUCACCAACCGGGACUAAAGGGGCGGGACUAAAGGCCUAACCUAUUCGUCCCGGCCCUCUUACAAGCCGGGACUAAAGGUGCUCCACGUGGGCACCUCGUAGCGCCCCAGGGGCAGGCCCUUUAGUCCUGGUUCGUUACACGGUCCGGGACUAAAGAUUUUCAUAUUUUGCUGGCUUUUGGGUUUUUUUUGAAUGAAAUUAUUUUUGGGUUUUAGGGUUUUAGAGUUUAGGUGUUCAGGAGAUUAACGUGAUGCCUCGUUUUGUGUUCGGGAAUUAGUUUUCAUAUAAUUUAAAAUAGAAAUAAUUAUGCAUAUAUAUAUAUAAGAUUAACUUAUCUUACAAGCGAUCAUAUAUAUACAAUUAUAUGGAGAUCUGAAUUAUCGGGACUAGAGCCCGUCUAUUCGAUUACAUGGACGAACAUCACUAAUGGCCCUUAGCUACACUAAAUCGUCCUUUGUCUUCUAUAGCUUCCGUCCUCAGAAAUCCCGCAAGCUCCUCUGCAACAGCAAUCGCGCGUUGCUCUGGUAGGACCUUCGUCCUCAUGGCCGUGUGCUAUAUAAGAAGAGGAGAUGAAUAUGAAUAUCAAUCAUGAUACACAAAGAAUGACGGGUAAAAAUAGAUGUGUGAAUGUUCAUUGCUUACGUCGAAUAUGUGCUCCUUGAACUCAGAGGUAAACGUGCGAAUGGUCUCGCAAACAUAGUAUCCGCAUAGAUGCGUUCCCCGUGGCUGCUGGUCGCACUUUACGAGAAUGGAAUAUAUAUAAUCAAAAUAAUAAUCUAGCAUCAUAAAUGUAUUGAAAAUUAAUAGAAGUAUAUCAUACUACUACUUACCUGAGCCGCUCUAAAGGUCAGCUUCUCAGGAAAGUUACCGAGAGUCACGCACUUGAACCGAUUCCAAACCCUGCCCGACAAGGAUAAUGAUUUGCUAAGUUUUUCAUUAAUUGAUAUAUCAGAAAAUCAUCGAAAGAGACCGAUAGAGCGCAAGAAUGAUUAAAAUUACCCUUGGAGCAUGUCGUGCAGGCUUUGGAACUGUUCCAAGGGUCUCGAUAAUGGGUCGAAGGCAUCAACUAUUCCUUUAUCAAUUUGAAUGUCCAACAGAAUCCAAUGAAAGCUGCACAUGUGUGUGUGUGUGUGUGUGAGUAACUUAUCAAUUACACUUAUAAGUGAAUGGACACAACAGAGUAAAGACCCUCACCUGAAGUUGUAUGGAAACAGUAUAUGGUCACAGAAAUUUUGAUCUCUUAGAAACCUUAGAAGGUUUUCCUCCGUCUCCUUGGGAUAAUUAGUUAGCGUCGCUAUAUGUAUUUUAUCUGGAUCAAUAAACCCAAUAUUUAUGAUGCUCUUACUUUUACACUCCAGAAUCUUCAUUCUGCAUAAUAGAGUACAAGUUAUAUAUAGACAAUGAAUUGAAAUAACUAAACAAGUUAUAUGUAGACAACGAAUUAAAAAACUUACAGACAAUAACAACUCAUAAGCGAUUUGUCGAGGGCGUCGCCAUUGUACAUCUAGAAGAGUUCAUCAAAGUCGAUAUGGAUUUCUUCGGAGCGGCCGUAGUACUCCUGUGGGACACUCAGCACGAUCAUCGUUCUCCCCUUCUUUGAUUCACUUAAGUACCAUUUAUGCAAGUAACGCAUAUUUGUUGGGAGAUCAUCUUUGCUGACCAAACGCUCUCCCAUGACAAACUUUGGCUUAGGGGCUACCACAGCCUUGGGUAUCCUGUCUUCUUGGGAAGCCAGCAAAUUUUCAACCAAGAUACCACAUUCAUCCGCCAACUCCUUUGCUUUUUCAAAAGCUUGCCCCUGCACCGAAGGGGGAACAUUCUCGGUUAACACCUUGAGGGGUGGGAUCGACUGUUUGGCGUGUUGUCCAAGCUGAGGAACGUCUGAUUUUUUCUUGCUUGUAGUUGAACUUGAUUUGCUCCCACUUGCACUUGCAUGUGACCUGCUCUUUUUCACUUCCUUCUGCAAUGUGCGUGUAUAGUCAUCAAGCUUAUAGUGUAAGUCAUACUGUGAUGGAGUGGUUAUGAAGUCUUUUGCCCAUGCUAUGUUCUUCUCGGUGUAUUUCGGGCGGGGCUCGGGUUCCUUCCUUUUCAUCUGCGUGUCAUGCUGUUCCUUUGCUAUCCUGGCGUUUUCCUCGGGGGUACGAUCAUAAGGUCUAAUAGGAAGAUUAGCAUGAGGUAUCUUUGGGAGGGGCGACAGUUUGCGCUUUGGGGAGCUCCGUCCCUUAGAAAUCAUCGACGAAGCGUUCUUGCUGGCACGCUUCCGCUUAGUAUCAUGUGCGGGCGGCGGCGGAGACGGACGACCCAAGUCCGGCGACGGUGAUUGAGAUGGACUCGUGUUGUGCUGGCCGACGUCAUGUGGAGGGCUUGGAGGUAAUGGAGGUGUAGGUGACCUGCGACGACUCGGAGGCGGUGUUGUCCUUGGGGCCGAGCCUGGAAGCUUGAUGUAGUUCUUGUCCCAUAGGAUGACUCCACCCAGUACUUCUCCGAGUGUCCUCUCAUCUUCGGGUCCAGCUAUGUCGAGCUCCAUAUCAUAAAACCCCGUCAUGAUUUCAUCCACCCCGACUUUAGCAAAGCCAGCUGGAAUCUCACGGCCAUGCCAGCGUGCAUUAGGGCCAGAAGGUAAAGCUUGUCCGACGGCCACCUUCAUGGAUAUGUUCUUGAAUUUCUGAUGGAGUUCACAUGAUGUUGACUCCUUGAUUCCAUCCACGGGGUAGCCGGGACCGCCCUCUAUCAUUCUUCGUUCAUCGUCGGGCGGGGCCUCAGAUUCAGCCACGCUGCUUUUCCGCUUAGACGGGGCGCCGGUAAUAUCAAGUGCAGGAUCUUCCUCGCGCGGUACUCCUCUAAGCUCAUCAAUCUGCUUCUGUUGCUCGUUAAUCGUGGCAAGGAACUGGUUGAACUUGUCAUUCUCCUCAUCCUGUUGCCGCUUCUUUGCUCUCUCUCGGCUUCUGUAAGUGUCUUGGUCUCUGGCAAACCCAAGCCACCACGGGUAAGAAGGACCGAAGCCUCGCGUUCGUCCUCCAUGUUCGUCAUUGCCGAGGACCAGUGUGAGCAAAUCUUUCUCUCUAUCUGCAGUGAACUUUCUUCUUCCCUUCUUAAUUUCUUUCACUAUCCUUUUCCAAUUCUCCAUGGGUAUCCUAAGAUUGUCAUUGCAGAUGAGGUCCCCUGUUGUUUCGUCGUACGACCCAUCAUGCGCAAGGAACCAAUUUCUUGCUCUCAAUUCCCACUCAUCACAGAGUGGUUCAGGUACGACGCCUUUAUCUAUCAGAUCUUGCUCUUUCUUAUCCCACUUUGGGAUGGCACUCUCAUAGCCCCGUGGCCCCAGCUUGUGGUGAUAUAUCUUCUUGUCGGCAUUUAUCUUGUUCUUUUCUGAUAAUGCCUGGGCAUCUUCUGACUCCUUGUACUCUUGAAAUGCCUUCCAGUGAUUCGCCUACUUGGCUAGAUACCCCUCGAAUACUGGCACUUUCUGUGUCUUCAGAUAGUUUUUCCAUAGCUUCUUUUUCCAGCUACGGAACAGUUCAACCAUCUUCUUCAGAGUCCACUGCUUGACUUUGGCCCUCAGUUUGUCUGCGGCGUCUUCAUUCUCACAUUCUGGCAGGUUGACAUGUGACAUGAGAUCAUUCCAAAGAUUAUCUUUGUACCUUUCGGCGACAUAGUCACUAUCGGCUGCCCCUUUGCGCUUGUUCCACUCCCGAACGCUGAUCGGGACGUGAUCCCUAACGAGAACUCCGCAUUGCUUCUUGAAUGUGUCAGCAACAUUCUUAGGAAGCUUGGGUUCGCCCGUAGGAAAUAUCACCUCAAAUGUGUAAUGCGUCCGUGCAUCCAACUUUCUAGUCGGGCCUCGUUUCGUAGUUUUGCUCGAUGUGGAGGCCUAAGAGGGAGAAACAUUCGUCAAAUGAAUGUAUAUGUAUACAAUAUAGAGCUAUCUCCAAUAUUUUUCACAUAUUGCAAGUGAUUGUCGAACUUCAUAUGUAUACCUCGCCGGACUUCUCCUCUUCACCGGCUUCUCCAUCAGUGGAGCUAUCACCUUCUCCGUCAUUGGACCUAUCUCCUGCCCCAUCGGCUUCAUCUUCGUGUCGCUCGACCUCCAUUCCAACGUCCUGGUUUAGAUAUAACGACGGAGAUUCAGCUGGUUCAACGUCGGGGCCGUCUUUGAUUAUAUCUUCCAAAAGUUCUUCCUCUUCGAGGUUCCUGAUAUGUGGAUCCAUAGUUCUGCAAAAAACGGAUUCUCUUAACCUUUGUACCAAAAACCAAAGUAAGAGUACUUUUCCAAUUUGAGACUCCUAGAUUUCUGCAUAGUAUUCAAAGUAGGAGUAAUUUUCCAAUUUGAGCAUUCAAUAAGCAAAACCAAAUCGUAAAAUAAAGUAGUAUUCAAAUUUGCAUGCAUUUAAUUAUAAGCUAAUACAUCAUCACUUUUGUUCGUACAUCAUUGAAUAUUAUCAUUAAUACUCCUCGAAUACUAUCAUACAUAUAGCAUCACUAAUACAUCUAGAACCGUAGCGUGCGACGAGUAUCGACGCGGGCGGUGGACACCCAAAGAGAAGGAACCAUCACAGGAUCAUAGCUCCAGUGAGAUCCCCGAAGAACCUGCCAGGUAUGCUCGAACCUGCCCUCCAACACAACCAUGUAGCGACGGACAUGCUCAUCCUCCUCGCUGACACGGUGACGUACCACCUCCGCGGUGUCCGGAAGCCUCGGCACCCUCACUGGCCCACACGACCGCCACCAAACAAGGAAAGGGGUCAACGACGGGCUGGCUCCUCACCAACCUAUGCCCCCCGGAAGGUAGCACCUCCCAAUACCAGCCGGGCGGAGCCUAGUCCCGGACAGGGCCCCUCUGAUCAAGCAGGUGUCCUCCGCCGAGUCGACGACGAGGAUGCGGGAUAGGCAUCGUAAAAUGAACUAAAAAAAAUAAACUAGUUCUAUUAAUUUUCUUACUAAAAAUAAACUAUUAGCACUUAAGCAUAUACAAUAGCAAAAUUAAACUAUUAACACUUAUUUUCAUUUUUCUUCUCCUCCUCUUCUUUUCUUCUCNNNNNNNNNNNNNNNNNNNNNNNNNNNNNNNNNNNNNNNNNNNNNNNNNNNNNNNNNNNNNNNNNNNNNNNNNNNNNNNNNNNNNNNNNNNNNNNNNNNNUGAAUCAUCUGAAUCAGAAUGUCCACCUUCCUCGAGGUGACGCUGGCCAUAGUGGACGACUCGAAUCUUGCGGUACAACUCGUAUGAAACAUAUGCAUCUUUUGUUGCAUACUCAAUGUUGAUAUCAUCAAGUGGGCCCUUCUCCCAAAGUCUGUGCUGAGACUUUGGGAAACUGGUCUUCAUAUCAGCAUAUGAAUCGUCGAUCAAGGCAACUGCCAUACGAGCCAUCGAAGUCCUGUCAUGUUGAAGCUUGAAUAUCGUUUGGAGAUCAACGAGGCAAUCAGCUGGUAUCUCAAUACCGAAGCUGUGCCUCAUCUUCAGCCUGUCGUUCCUUAUGUCAACGAAAGCAAAAGUGACGCCGCUGCGAAGGAACUCCAUGAGUCUUGGACAAUGCUUGUCACUCCUGCAACAGAAACAAAUUAAAAUGGACCAAAUGUUACAUACUGCUGCAAUAAGGAAACAUGUUUCACUACAAUUAAAGAGAAACUUAUCUUUAGGAUUCAUAUAGAACAUAUGCAAUGGAACCUAGAGAGAUCACUACAACUAUUUGAAGCGAACCAACUAUGAUUCCAAUGGAACAUAUUAAACACUAGUUGAUUCUAAUACGAUUUUUCAGAUUAUGGAACACUAUUCCAAUCAGAUUGUGUUCCCCUUCAACUAAUCAAAAUUGUUUCACUACAACUAUUUGAAGGGAACCAACUAUGAUUCCAAUGGAACAUAUUAAACNNNNNNNNNNNNNNNNNNNNNNNNNNNNNNNNNNNNNNNNNNNNNNNNNNNNNNNNNNNNNNNNNNNNNNNNNNNNNNNNNNNNNNNNNNNNNNNNNNNNGGCCUUUAGUCCCGGGUUGAGCCACCAACCGGGACUAAAGAGGUAUACCAAACGGUUGCCACCACUACGGCAGGCCACGUGUUAGGCUUUUAGUCCCGGGUUCAACCACCAACCGGGACUAAAGAGGUAUGCCAACGGUCGCCCCACUACGGCAGGCCACGUGUUAGUCCUUUAGUCCCGGGUUGAGCCACCAACCGGGACUAAAGGGGGAUACGAACGGUCGCCACCACUACGGCAGGCCACGUGUUAGGCCUUUAGUCCCGGGUUGAGCCACCAUCCGGGAGUAAAGGGGGAUACGAACGGUUGCCACCACCACUGCCCGCCGCGUAGCCCUUUAGUCCCGGUUUGGGACACGAACCGGGACUAAAGGCUCCUUACGGGCCGGGACUAAAGACUCGAGGGAGGCAUUGAGAAUUGGGGCGACGUGGCCGGGCCUUUAGUCCCGGCCCAGAGGCACUCCGGGACUAAAUGGUCCAGGCCAAAGGCCCGUUUUCUACUAGUGCAACAAUCCAUCUUAUUCGCACACCAUCUCGGGGGCACCUGUAAGUUAUUAGAAAGAAUUUUCAGCGCUACGCCUAUGAAUGAAAUCAAGAAAACUACGUAGAAGGACUUAAGAAUAGGUAAUUACCUUCAUGUAUUGCUCCUUCUUCAGAAACUUUCCGCGGCAAUCCUUCUUCUGCUUCUUAAUACCACGCGUGGCGUAGUAAUCUCGAAUAGCCUGCGGCCGAGCCUCGUGGCGCAAGUUCUGUAGUAACCGCCUACACUCGGCCUCGAGAACCCUAGCCGCCUCCUCCUCAUAUCCAUCCUCACACCUAUAGAAGGUCUGCAAUCAAACGUGAAAACACCGAUUAGUACAAUAAUUAGCUAUAUUGUUAAUUUUAUAUUCUGUAAAAGGAUAAUUUACCCAAAAGCUCUUGAUCACCAUCUCGGCCCUCGUGUGGCACAAGACACCAUCUAUAAUCUCCUCCGGCGGGGCCUGCGCAGCCUGGUAGUGCUCCCAGGAAAAUCCUAGUGUAGGAACCUGACCCUCACCAGGCAACGUGACAAACCCCGGGAAAUAUGUCCGGCAAAGCACACCAAGGACGGAGUUCGUUCUGCGGACUACAAGAGGGUGUACCCAUCCCCUGCAGUAUGAUAAGGUCAACGCAUUAGAUAUUUGAAAAAACUUGAAGGCAAAAGCUAAAAAAAAAGAGUAAAUGUACUUACCUAUCUCCUUCAGGUUUAAUCACCGUCCUCUGCUCGCGGGUAGCCGACGCGACCGGGAGACGUGUACUACCACACUUGUACACGGUGGCCCCGUCCACCUGCACAUCGCCCUCACUAUCCGUAAGCUCAUCCCCACCAUCCCCGCCCCCUGAGCCACCCGAACCCUCGGUCCAAUCCGGCAACUCGGUACGAUCCGGCCAGGUCUCCCAUCCGGGCCUCUCCACGUCGGGUGAAGCCUCCGGAACCAUAGUCUCCUCCGGCUGCUCGUGGGCCGAAUGCACCUCGACCCGAGGCUGCUCCUGGACCGGAGUCUCAUGGGACGAAUGCCCAUCAACAACAGGAUCCUGGAACGGAGUCCCCGUAGCCUCCUCCGCAAACGGGUCGACCAUAGUAGUCCUAUGCUCGGGUGAAUGAGCUGGUGGUGGUGGCGAGGACGGCUCAAUAGUCCUCCUGGACCUUCCGCGGCCACCACCUCUCCCUGUACCCUUCCCCUUCUUCCCUACCCGACCAACACCUCUCCCAGUGGGCAAUGCCGCCGACGAACAAGAACCCACGGGUGGCGUCGACAGACAGUCUGACAAGGCUCUAUGGAGAGAUAGGGGUGGAAGGGAAGUACCACCCCUCGUGCGGGGCGCCUCGGAAGAACCUGUCGAGCGAUCUGGACCAGCGCCCACCAUCUUUCCACACCUGGUGACCUGCCAUGAUAAAGAUUAAAAGAAAUUAGUACAACAUAAAAAAAUUAAAAACUGACAUGAAUAAUAAUAUGUACAUGAAUAAUAAAGAUUAAAAUAUAUAUAAUUUAAGUUGUGAAUCUUACAAACUAAUAAUCAUCAUCUAUAAAUGCAUCAUCAUCACUAUCACGCAUGUCUUCAUGAAUGACGUGCUCGUCGGGUUCAACGGCGUGAAGUUGUGAAAGGACUUCCUUUAAUUGUUGAAGCAUUGACAGGUCAUCCGCAUCAGUAACCUCUACGAGUUCCAGGUCUUCUGGUUCCGGCUCAGGGCUGGAGUCGGAUUCAUUGUCGCUGUCUACUUCCAUGUUCUUGGGUGAAGCACAGCGGUUCUUGAAACAUUUCUUGGAAAGACGUGUUUCUUGGAAGAAUUCUCCAUCAUAUGUGUCUGGGUUAAUGUGAGGUUCAUAAUCCUGUUCAUUUGGGAGAGGUGGUCUGACAUGUGGCGGCACUUCAUAAACAACAUACCAACCUUCCAGAUUCUUAUCCGUUUGGCAUGCCCACGGUAGAUAGAAAACUUGGGUCGCAUGUUGAGCCGUAAUAUAGACAUCGGGAACAUCUAAAUGGGUGUUUGGAUUGAUUUCGACUAGUCAUAUAUGCUCAUGAGUCCUUCUAGUCUUUUUCGGCUGGAACCAAUAACAUUUGAAGACUACGACGUUCGGUGGGUUUUCACCAUAGAAUUGAAGUUCAUAAAUUGCUUCAACUCUUCCAUAAUACUCGAUAACACCUUCGCCGAUAGCAGAGACACCACAGUUUGUAGAUUUCCAGUCGGGCAUAGAUAGCUCUUUGCCAAAGGUACGAAAGAGAUACCCGUUGAUGUUGUAUUUCUCAAAUGAACGGACCUUAUAGUCAAAACCAUUAGCAACUUGUCUCAAUUCGGCGUCCAUAGACUCUGAAUUAGCCUACAAGUUUAAUACGAAACGGUUGUUGCAUUAGCCGCAAGUUAGACCAAGAAUGAAAUGGUCCAUUAUUGAUAAUUAUCGUUUGUUUGAACCAAGAGAUGAAACCGGGAUAGCCGCCUCCUGUCUUUGACAGAAGCUCAUACUCUUCGACGGAAUCAUUUUCGAUCACCGCUCCAUCCGAGAAUUUGGCGACGUAACGGUUGUUUGAAAUAUCCGGGAAUAAGAGCAGUUCAAAUGAAUUAGAAGUUACGGGAAAAUGUGCCGAGAACUCACUCGAUGUAUGGCCGCACUUCUGUUAGGUUGUUGAAGAUAUACAACAAAAUGUUCCGCCAUUCUUCGACAUCCAACGUUAUUGGUUUCGAAGCACCGGCUGGUGCGAGCUUCCCUUUGAAUAGGCUGAGGUUGGACCCACCUUUUUUAGGGUCUGCAUCAUUGUGCCGAGGCUUCGGAUUAUGCAAAUGAUGAUUUUUGGCUUCAUAGUGUGCUGUCAUAAAGUUUGCCACCUCCUCAGUAAUGAAUGCCUCAGCCAUCGAUGCUUCAAUUCUACGCUUAUUUUUACAUUUAGCUCGAAGGAUCUUCUGCAAAUUCUCAGUUGCAUAGCACCAACGAUCUUGCAUGGGCCCACCAAAUCUUGGCUCGGUCGGUAGAUGUAAAAUCAAAUGCUGCAUUGGAUUAAAGAAGCCAGGUGGAAAGAUCUUCUCUAACUUGCACAACAACUCCGGUGCAAACUCCUCCAUGUAUUCUACCACGCCAGGCUACAAUUCUUUCGCACAAAGAACACAUAAGAAAUAGCUCAGCUCCGCCAGUACUAGCCAUUCAUCCUCAGGAAUAAAGCCACGUAACAUCACCACCAUUACCCGCUCUAGCCAUAUGUGCCAAUCAUGACUCCUGAGACCAAAGAUUUUUAAUUUUUCAAGACUCGCUCCCCUCUUUAGAUUCGCUGCAUACCCAUCGGGGAACAUCAAGUGCAUUUUGACCCACAAGAUAAUUUCCCUCAUAGCUGGCCUUCCAAGAUUGAACCAGGCCUUUGGCUUCGACCACUCCUGCUUUCCUUUGGCUUCUCGCAUGUUUUGUAACGGUCUAUGACAUAGUGUCUCUUGAUCGACUCUAGCCUUAAUAUUAUCCUUUGUCUUCCCAUCUAUGUCAAACAAUGUACCAAAAAUAGCCUCUCUGAUAUUAUUUUCAGUGUGCAUCAUGUCGAUAUUGUGUGGAAGAAGGAGGUCUUUGAAGUAAGGCAGAUCCCAGAAGCAUGGCUUGUGAGUCCAGGCGUGUUUUGAAUUAUACCCCUUGAAAUACCCUGGACGCUCUGGAUCAGGCUCGAGGGCGUUUAACUGAUCCAGGAUUUGUUGGCCUGUGAACGCAGGUGGUGCCAAUUUUUUGACAACUUUACCUUUGGUAAACAACUUUACCUUUGGUAAAGUUCUUCUUGUCUUUUCUGAACUGAUGGUCAGGAUCCAGGAACUGUCUAUGCAAGUCAAAGCAAGAAUACUUCCGACCCUCCUGCAACCAAUGAAACUGAAGAGCUGCCUUGCAUUGGGGGCACGGGAACCUUCCAUGCACACACCAUCCAGAGAAUAGCGCAUACGCUGGCAAGUCAUGCAUAGAGUACAUGUACCACACAUGCAUUUUGAAGUUUUCUUUUCUAGCGGCAUCGUAUGUCUUGACCCCAUUAUCCCAAGCUUCUUCCAAUUCAUCCUUAAGCGGUUGCAGGUACACAUUCGUAUUCUUCCCCGGAUAAUUGAGCCCUGGAAUUAUCAACGUCAGAAAUAUGUUCUUUCUUUGCAUAAUCUGCCCGGGGGGGAUUGAGUAGAAUGAAAAAUACAGGCCAACAACUGUAUUGGGUUGUCGUCAUGCUGAAGGGAUUAAAACCAUCCGUGGCAGCGCAGACUCGAGGAUUCCUUGGAUCUGCCGCUUUAUCCUGAUGCAAUCCAUCGAAAUGUUUCCACGCUUCCCCAUCCGAUGUGUGUACCAUCAUCUUAUUCCCAUCCGCAUCUAGUUCGGUUCUUUUGCCCAAUUUGUGUCAUGUCAUCUGUCUGGCUGUCUCUUCGACCAUGAAAAUACGUUGAAGUCUUGGUACGANNNNNNNNNNNNNNNNNNNNNNNNNNNNNNNNNNNNNNNNNNNNNNNNNNNNNNNNNNNNNNNNNNNNNNNNNNNNNNNNNNNNNNNNNNNNNNNNNNNNCCAACUAUGAUAGAAACAAAUAAACUUAUAUGUGGAAUUCACUAUGAUAGAUUAUGGACAUUAUGCAUAAUAUGCAAACAAAAGAAAGCUUGUUAACUAGUAAAUCCAAACUAUAAACUAAGUCUUAUCGGAUUGACAAAAUUCGAUCCAAUGUGAAUUAUAAAUGAACACAAAUAAAUCAAUUCCUACUAAAUAUAAUAUUAAGUAUAAUCGGACUCUAGCUACAUUACUAAAUCAACACAAAAGAGUAGCAUGUCCUAUUCAACACUAAAACAUAUUGAACACUAAAAAAUUGUACACUAACAAAUUAAUUUCUACUAAAUAUAAUCGGAUACUACACUACUAAAACUAAUUCCACACAUACUACACUACUAAAUCAAAUGUACAAAUACACAAAAUCUACUACGCUACUUAAUCAGAUACACAAAUACAGAAAAUCCAUGUGAACGUGGGAGUAGUGACCCUAGGGGAGGGAUUAUCUUGGAUCAAAGAAAGCCUCAAAACUUACUUCGCCCAUUGGAAGAUCAAGACAUGGCUUGCGAAGCAUAUUUGGAUGACGGCAACACCAUGUUGAUCGACCGUGUACUCCAGAUCUAGCCCGAAGAACUUCUCAUGAUCCGGAGCGUGGUUAAACCAUCGUUCCUUCAACUGUUGAAGGAAAAAUGGCACCUCCGUGCUCAGGUUCGUGUACACGACACGGAGCUUCGUCGCGCCAUGCGCGACCACCUCACGAAAGAUAGUUGGCAUGGUGGAAGAAGAGAAGGGAAGAAGAGAGGAGAAGAACAGAGAGGGCGACGCGAGAGAGAAGAAGAACAGAGAGGGCGACGCGAGAGAGAAGAAGAACAGAGAAAUGGCGACUGUACGCUUCGGUUCGUGCUUUUCAUCGCCCGAAACGACGCGGGAUGCAAACCGUUUGGGCCUUUAGUCCCGGGUUGAGCCACCAACCGGGACUAANNNNNNNNNNNNNNNNNNNNNNNNNNNNNNNNNNNNNNNNNNNNNNNNNNNNNNNNNNNNNNNNNNNNNNNNNNNNNNNNNNNNNNNNNNNNNNNNNNNNGGGUCGGGCAAGGCUGCGGUGAGGGAGAGUGGAGAGAGUGUAGAGAGUGGGAGAGAGGAGGGCGCGGCGACCGUUAUCGUUAAUUAGGUGUCCAUCCACUUCGUCGUCUGCCGCAGACGGCAAAGGAAGAGAAGGCAGACGACAAAGGGGUGGGGUGGGCGCGGGUGGGGUGGGGCAAAGAGGUGGGUGAUGGCGUCAGCUUUGUCGUCUGUCUUCUCUUCCUUUGUCGUCUGUGGGCGGACGGCAAAGAGGUGGCUAAUGGAAAAUAGGUAUUUUGCCAUCAGCCACCUCUUUGCCAUCUGUUUUCCUGAAGCUGAUGGAAAAUAUGUUCUUUGCCGUGUGCUGGCUGAUGGCAAAGAUUUGGCAGACGACAAAUAAAGGAAUUCCAGUAGUGAGGGAGAUGGGGGUUUGUGGCUUCAAUUGAUUGAGGCCAAGUACCUUCGAGGCCGACCUCUCUUGGCAUGCUCUCUCGCGAAUAGUUCGCAGUUCUGGAAGUCUAUCCAGAACAUUAAGCACGAUAUUAGGUUGGGCUUGCGGAUCUCGGUGGGCGACGGGUCUGGGACCCAGUUUUGGUUAGAUCCCUGGUUGGAGGGAGAGCCUCUGCGAUUCCGUUUCCCGAGACUCUUUGCUAUUUGUGCCGACCUGCUGUCCUUGUUUCUGCAUCUGCUCUGGAAGACGGAUGGCAUGUUGCAUUCCGCCGUCCCCUUGGCCAAGCUGAGGUCCAGGACUGGGAAUUAUUAUUGGAAAUGACUCCCCUCCCGGCCUCAGCGGUUCGUGAUAGUGUCUCUUGGAGUCUUUCUCCCUCGGGAGAAUUCUCUGUUAGUUCGACCUACCUGCCGCUGUGCAGGAUGCCGGUCCUCCCGUGGCUAUCCCCACUCUGGAAGGCCCCGUUGCCCUUGAAGAUCAAGAUUUUUGUUUGGCAGCUUCUCCAAGACCGUUUACCUUCAGGGACUGAGGUGCUGAAACGCCAUGGUCCGGGUAACGACAUUUGUCCCCUGUGCCAUGUCCCAGAGACUGGCUCUCACAUUCUGUUCUCAUGCGUUGCGGCACAGGCACUAUGGUGCUUUGUACGCGAGGCUCUGGGGCCGGAGUGGGAGGCCUCUGACCUUGCAGAUUUUCUGCAGGUGCGGGCCACUCAGGUCGGCCAUAAACGCCGACUGUUUUGGAUGGUCUUCGCGGCUAUGAUGUGGACCCUCUGGACUACUCGCAAUAAGAUGGUGAUUGAGAAGGUGUUUCAGCGGCGUGCUUCUGACUCGUUCUUCAAAUUCCCUGCAUUCUUGCAGCUUUGGCAUCCGCUCGUUAGGACACGGGACCGGGACCGGCUUCAGCACUUCCUGGACGCGUUGAUGGCGGCCGCCCGACGGCUCUCCUCUCCCUUGCUUGCUGCCUAGCCUGUCCCCGUGAGGGCCUUUUUGUUUCUUCUCCUUUUCUAGGGCUGGACUGUGUUGUUGCCCCAGCGGACUAUCUUUUUAUUUCUUUGUUCGGACAUGUUGGCUGGAUUCUGGUUUGUGUGCUUUAUCUAUAAAGCGGGGCGAAAGCCUGUUUUGAGAUAAAUCUAGUUUUUGAUAUUCAUGCUUUAAAUUCGGCCAUGAAAUCUCCCAGAAUCAUUCUUUAAUUAGGAGUCAAUUAGCCACGUAUGCCCUAUUGAGAACGAUAUGCAGCUGCGUUCAAUCUGUCAUCAAAUUUAUAGUCCAUAAUCCCGCUUUAAGUAGGAGUAGUAAUGGCUCCCAAAUUCCUGCUUUAAAUUAGGCUAGAAAUCUCCCACAAUUCUUCUAUAAUUAUGAGUCAAUUAGCAGCAGCGGCACAUUCCCCCUCAUUUAUCAAAUUAUUAGCAAGUGCAGCCAUGGGCAUAAUUUUGAGAGUUAAUUUAUUCCCUUGUUAUCUCCGCAAUGCGUCGGACAAUCGUCUCAAACCAAACCCAUGAAACGCGGCUCGUCUUCGGCGUUUAUACAGGUGGUGCACUCACGCUUAUUUAUUCCCUUGUUAUCUUUUCAGUUCUUCUAUCCUUUUUUCCUCCUUCAACUGGAUUAACGUAUCCCAGUUUGUGUUUGGACUAACUGAACUGUGUCAAUGAACAUGUAUUUUUUAUAGACACGGUGCUUUCUAAAGCCGAUAAUAAUGCAUUCGUGCAACCCUUUCAUGAUGUGUCUAUUCUUCUUAUACUCAAGCCUUAAUAUGCACUAAAUUUGUCUUAAGAUGUUGCCAAACUAGUUUGCCUGCCUCAUGUGUUUACCCUCUACAUUCCCGAUUAUUCGGCUAGAAGAUAAAGGGAGCACCUCUGCGAUUGUUACGACUGAGUAAUCCACAUACGUACCUCACAUGAGUGAAGUCUAAAGCUAGGUUUCUUAAUGACAAAUUGGUCCCGCAAAGGGAAUGUGACAAUAAUUAGGUGGUUAUCACCAAGGGUUAAAAUUCACAAGCAUACACUCAAUCCGCACACAACGGAUGCUCACAAACCGUGAGAAAGGAACCUAUAAAGGAACUAUUUUCUUGGAAAUAUGUUUCUUAGUAAGUAAAAGUAAUAUAACAUAACUCCAUGAUAAUUAUCUAUCUAUUAGCACCAUAUGGCCUGGUUGCCUGGUUCUCCGAGCUGUUUACCUAUUUUACAGGUCACACAGUACGAAACACUUCCUGCUUUCUAUCAAGGGAGGCAAAAGCAGAUCGUCAGUUAAGAUAGUAUUAACACAUUAGAUGGAGAACAAAGUGAUAUAAAUACUUAGUUGCAUAAAAUCACGCAUCGGGUUGUUGAUCUAGGUUAUCUAUUAUUACACCCACGCGACAAUCUUGUUGUGACAAGCAUGCGGAGGGCAUCUAAUGCCCCAGAUGUAAUCCUUGCCAUAUUGGGAUCCUUUCCUUUUGUGGAACCAUAUUUUGAAUGUUAUGAAGUCAUCAUUUCAUGUGGAUCAUUUUAUGUCAUCAUCUUUGCAUCAUGGCAUCAUUUUUUUCUUCUUUUGCUUUGUUUCAUUCUUGUUGGUUUGCUAGCUUGCUUGUGGUGGUGUGUGAUGAUGUGGAGGUUACCAAACAAUGCUUACAAACACAUUGCUUUCAUUAUAUGUCAAAACCUUCUCCCCCUUGUUAUUUAUUUAACUUGUGUGUCAAACCUUCCUAGAACUUGUUUUAAAAAUGUUAAACAUUUAGUGUAUUAUCUUGUGAUUGAGGGGGUAUUGUCUUGGGGUUUUAAAACUCAAGUCAUGUGGGGUUUUUAUUUACAAAACAUCAUAUAAAAUCCCUGGUUUGGAUAUAAUUUAGUUGUCCUAAAAAUCAGUUUUGUAUUUUAUUUAAAUAGGGCAUAAUUCCCUCAUGUCCCCAGUGUUCUUAUUUUUAUUUUCAAAACCCUGUGUUGCUCUGGGUAUUUUGUUUUGCUGUGAGGUUUAUUUUAAAAGAAAACCCUUUUGUUUCUUCUUUCAAAGAGAUCCAGGUGGGCUGGCUCCCUCCUCUUACCUGGGUCUUGCCCUUUUUCUUCCUUUCCUUCGCGUAGCAGCCCGCUCGGCGUCCCUCUUCUUCCCCUGACGUCGUUGCUUUUCCCCUCCUUUCCGUCAGAGAGAGCGUCGUCGUGUGAGAGAGAGAGCUCCUGAUGUCGUGGCUUCACGGAUGUCGAGGCCAUUGCCCCAGCACCUAUUUAAUCCCUCGACGUGCGGGCCUCGUCCUAGGGUUCCUCUCCCUGCCGCCACCUCAUUCCCAUCUCUCUCCUUCUCCUCUGCAGGUAAGACUCCAGUGAGUUCAUAGAGAGCGCCGCUCGUCGCCGUCGUCCCUCCCCUCGUCAUCGGCGCGUCCCCGUGGAAUCCGAGCAUGCAGGGAGGAUGUCGGAUCCUCCUCGCUCCAUUCCCGGCACUGGGAAGGGGGAUCCCUCCCUCUGUCGGCCCCUCCUCGCCGUCGUCGUCUCGGGUGAAAGGAGCAGAGGGUCAGCGCCGCGUCGCCUCUUCUUCCUCUCCGUCGAGCCGCUCGCCCUCCUCUUCUUGUCAUAGGGUGAGCCUUCGACGUCUCCUCCCCCUCUCCCGUGUGUGUGUCCGCUCGUGGUGCCGGAGUUGCGCCGCCGUCGUUGUUCUGCGCGGUCGGUUACGCAGCCGCGUCGAGCCGCCGUCUUAGGGUCCCUCCACGUGGGUUAGCCACGUGAAUGGGUUCCCCAUUCCUCCCACGUCCCGCGCCGUAGCCGCCGUUCAGUUUAGAUCGCUGGAGCGUCGGCGGAGAACCUCCGUUGUUCCGGCCGUCGUGGGUGUGUGCAGUAGGAGCAGAGGGGGCUGCUCAAAAGAGCAUCUCCCCCUCUCUGUUAAGAUUCGAACGAGUAGCGUAGUGGCAACGGAGCUUGGGCAUGCGCAGCGCGUCGCGGGUUCGAUCCCCCGCAGGCCCCCUUUUUUCCUUUUCUAUAUUCGCUAGAAGCAGAGCAGUGCAGAGAAGUUAGCCUGCAUCCUUCCCCUUCUGUGUCGAGUGCCGAAGCAGUAGCAGGGUGGUGAGCGUGCAUGUGGUGGCAAUAGGAGGUUGUGGGUUCGAAACCCAGGGCCUCCCCAUUUUUUUUGUUUUUCCUUGUNNNNNNNNNNUCUAUUCUUGUAGUGUGUGUGUGUGAGCACAUGCAUGUGUGUGGGUUCGAAACCCAGGGCCUCCCCAUUUUUUUUGUUUUUCCUUGUAUUGUUUUCCUUUUUCUUUUCUUUUGCUGCAAGUAGUGUUGUUUAGUUUCUUUUAACAAAAACCAGGGGGGGUGCUUUAUUUCUUAUGAGGCCUAGAGGACAUGUGAGUGUAGGUGUGAGCACAUGAGUGCAUGUGUAUGUGUAUGAGAGUGUAUGUGUGUGGACAUGAGUGCAUGUGCAUGUGUAUGUGAGUGUGUGUGCAUGGGUGCAAAUGCACACGUGCAAGAGGGCCUAACCCUCAUGUUGCACCUAUUCUUGUAGUGUGUGUGUGAGCACAUGUAUGUGUGUGUGUGUGCUCAUGCAUGUGUGUGUGUGAGUAUGUGUGCAUAUGCACUUGUGCAUGAGGGCCUAACCCCUCAUGCUUGCCACUAUGGAGUGGUGUUGUUGUGUAUAGUGCUUGUGUGUGUGCAUGUGUAGGUGUAGAUGUGCAAAAUGUGCUAGUUUUACAUGUGAUGUUAUUCUUUUAUAGCUUAUUGGAAUCUAGGUGAUAUUUUUUCGAGCUAGCUUUGUGCCUUGAUGUUACAUGCAAGUACCCAUGUAUUACAUAUGAUUUUGGGGUAGAAUCAUCCCAGGAAUCCAUUGGUGCAAUCAGAUUUCACUUUAGAGCAACUUCAUAAAACUGUUAUUUUCUGUCAUGAUGCCAUGUUUAGUGCUUUGUAUUAGGUGGUGCCUUGACCCUUUGAGGAUGAAUCCUUGAUGUAGUGCUAGUGGGUGAACCCCUCUACAACAUGGAGUCUUUGUUUAGUUCUUAGGAAUUUUUAUGCACCUAUUGUGCCCUGUCAAAGUUGACACUUGGCUGAAACUGACAGAUUUGUGAAACCUUGUGAUUUUCACUAAGUCUGGGAAUCUGGUGUUAUUUUCUUCCCCUGUUGUCUUGAAUGAAUUAGCUCCUGUGUUGGGAAUCAGCACAUGCAACAAACUAAAGUUUGUGAGAUUUUAUGUUUGUUUAGCUCCCUGUUAAAUUUCAUGCUGAUAUACUUUCUGUAGAUAUCAUUUUGAAGGCUGCCAAAAUGCUUCAGAGCAUAAGCAACCGGUGAAAAUAUGUGAUUUUCACUAAGUCCCAGAAUCUGUGAUAUUUUGUCCAAGUUUGUGUCUAUAGAUCUGAUCAUGGGUGAUUCCUUUGUAUUAACUUCUUGUUCAGGGUUGUAGAGAUUUUGGAUGGCUUCUGCCUCAUAUCUUGUUUGGCUUUUUUAGAUGGCUUUAGCUACUUUAAAUAUUGUAGACAAACUGUUGUGAUGCUGUUGAAAACAAAUUGCAUGUUUUUGUUGAUUUGAAGCUUGUGUGGGCAUUAUUGUUGGUGUGGUGUGUUCCCAUGCACCACCCCACUUAUAUUUUGUUGUUGAUCAUGUGGCAACCUGGUUACAACAGGGGAGUGCCAUUGGAGUGUGUUUGUGGCUGAUUUGAACCGUAGGUCUCCAUAACUUGUUUCGUAGUUUCCGGUUGAUCCCUAACUCCGUUCUCUACGUUCUUUAUAUGUUUUUGCAUCGUUUUCUCGUGAUGCACAUGUUCAUGCCAUAUUCAUGCAUGUCAAGAUAACUUAAUAUGAGGUUCUGUCCAGUAUUCAAUUAACUCAACUAAUGCAUAUGAAAGUGACUAGAAUAGUGAUGCAUGCUUCCUUCUUCACACAUGCAUCAUAUUGCUUAUUGCAUCAUGUUGUGUUGGUGUUCAUUGACUGUUAUCUUAUCUUGGGUAGCAUCGGGAUCAGAUAGCGAGUACGUGGAUUCUAGAGAGUACGUGCAGGAAGAUCCAGAGCAGUUCCAAGCUGAAGACAUCACAGGCAAGAUGACGUGACCUUGAUACCGUAUCUAGCUUUGUUAUGCUUAGAAUCACGUUUCCUUCGUUACAUGCUCGCUGCCUACCACUUGAUAUAAUGCCACUUGUCUUUGCCAUGAACCCCAAACACCUCCCUCUCCUAGCUAAUGUUGUUUGGCUAAGUAGGCUUGCUAAACCUCUAAUGUGUAGCUUUGCUAGUUGCAGGUGCCAGUUGUCUCAUGUGAUAACAUGAGUAUAUUGAUAUCAUUGUGUUUAAACUGCUAUUUAAUUAAUGCACCUAUAUACUUGGUAAAUAACAGAAGGCCUAGCCUUUUGCCGGGUGAUUUGUUCCGUUGUUGCCGCCUUAGUUUCGGUUACCGGUGUUUGAUUCCAUAACUGAUUGCUUCUAACACGUUCGGGGUUGUUAUGGGGACCCUCUUGAUAAAUCAUGUAGUGUUAAGGCUUGUCCGGCAGGACCCAACAUUGGUUUUAAUCUGCUAAUCACCUAAUAACAAUUUGCAUAGGGAAUAGGUACCCCGAGGAUUUAAUCAACAACCCGGUCCAGUGCUCCUCAUGAGUGUUGGUCCAACCCAGAGCAACUUAUUACGCUCCCCGGGGCAACUCGGUGUUUUGGCGUGGUAACCAUCGCUCAUCCGUCGUGUCCUGAGACUGAGAUAUGCGGCUCUUAUCGGGGUGGUCGACACAACGGGAGGUCCUGCUAGAUUUGUCUUACCUUAGCGAUAUAUCUUGCGUAUAGGAAUCCCGGUGAAACUUUGGGUCUCCUUAAAGUUGAGGUUUUCCUCUAAGGAAUCCAACGAGAUCACGAGAUUCGUGAUAGAGGAUUACUUUGCGGCCCGUGGGAGUUUGUAAUGGAGUAGUUGGAGCACCCAUGCAGGGUAUAAAUCUUUCACAAAGCCGUGCCCGCGGUUAUGUGGCAAGUGUGGAUAUUUGUUAACAUCCGGUUCUAGACAACUUGAAGUAACUCUAAUAAAACUGCCGACUGUGUGCGUAACCGUGGCUGUCUUCUUCGGAGAUCGUUCUCCGAUCGAGAACACGGUGGGGUUAUGUUUGACGUGGGUAGGUGUUCAGGAUCACUUAGUGAUCAAUCUAGUCUUCGAUCGCUCGCGUAGUCCACCAUAUAAUUACUCUGAUCAUCGUAAGUUAGCCACCAUAUAUGCUUAGGUUGCUGCAAACCCAUACACUAAACCUUCCUCACCUAAUAACUUGACUAGAUUCAGUACCAAGGUCAUUAGAUUGAUGAAUCCCCGUGGCUCAUAGAUUACUACAAACCCCAACAGGUACAGGUACGCCCGACGCAGGAGAUCCUGAUGACAACCAAUUGAAGUGGGAGUUCGAUGAGGACUCUGGCCGUCUGUAUGUGAACUAUCCGGAAGAUUGAGGUCGUGGUCGUGAUCGUGGGCUAGCAUACAGGAUGUGUUAGAUCAUCUGUUUUCUGUUUAAGUCCGUAGCUGGACCUGCUGCUACUCUGAAUAAUGUGUGUGUGUAAGCUAUAUGAUAUAUUCUUAACAAAUGGCAAGUGUAUGUCCUACUUGUUAAUCUUUAAUUAUGUAUUGUGAUGAUUAUCCCGUUUGCGAAACGCAUAGAUGCGCCCCUUUCCCCUUUUGAGGCCUCGUCCCCAAAUAAGGAAAGGGUCGCAUCUUAGUCGUUACAGGGCAUUACUUGGUCAUAAACUAGGUGAAGAGGCACCUCCUAACCAUCAGGCCCCUUCGGCCCUACUCGUGCCAGUUCUUCAGGAUUAAGCUUCGUAAACCUUGUCUUCACCAUUGCCCAUGCCUCUCGAGCACCUUCCUGGCAGGCCGAUGUUUUCCAAAAUUCAAAUCGGCGCCGAGCUCCUUUAAAGCACUCAACCAGUUCUGGCAUCCUUUCUGGAGGCUUCUUGAUCGGCCAUAACGCCUUCAGCAUGCUCUUCAUCGCUUUUCGCCCGCGCUCAUAAGCUAUGGACAAUUCCUUUAGAAAGUCACCACUAAACGAACUGGCUUCUUCCUCAUGACGCCCAGUCACGAGUGCUAUACCAAGGAAAUGGAAUUUUUGUUAAUAUCAUAUGUUAUAUUUGUAUAUUUACAAAGUUCGCUAUAUUACUUACCAAACAUUCCAUCCUUUAAUCUCUUGUUUUCUUCGGUGACUUGUGCCAGCCGAGUCUUUAGAGUCACAAAUUGGCUUAUCUGUUCUUGUUUUUCCGUCUUAAGCAUUUUAUUUUCAUCAACACUUCGGAAUAACGACUUGUAGGUGGCCUGAUUUUGAGAUUCGGCGUAUCUUUGUGAUUCUCUCGCCGCUUCUAGAUUUUUUUAGUUAACCUAUAGAUUCGGCUACUGCAAAAUAUACUUUCAUUUAAGGACAAUAGGACAACCAUCCAUGUGAGUUCAAAAUAAAAAACUCUCACCAUGUGCUUGUCUCGUGUAAUUCCUCACUUGCUCUAGUUCGGCUUUAACAACCUCGAGUUAUGUUCGGUAUGUCCCAAUCUCUUGGGAUAACUCCUUAUUCUUGUCCCUCGCAGCCUAAAGAGCACGUUGAGAGUUGUGUUUAGACCCUCAGAUCGUCCAUUCUGCCCAAUCAAAGAUCGGGGGCUAGUGGCUUGGGAUUUGUACACAACGGCAGAAUUUUAAACGCAUACCUUAAGGCUUGUUGACAUAUGGUUGUCUACUCCUUCAAGUCCUGAUUAGGCGGCUCUGAGGUGCGGGUCUACCAAACUCAAGCCGUUAAACUCGUGUUCGGAAAAUUCAGGAUGACGCAAGGAUUCUUUCCGACGGCGAUGGUUAAUUACGCUCUCCAUUUUGGAGUUGGUAACCAAAACCUCAUCAUGGUCCCCAGUGGACUGACCUGCAAGAGGGACCUCCGCGUUGUCCACUGUUGUUGAUGGGGGUGGAUGUGUUCGAUCCUACAAAAUAUGGCGACAGAUGUGAAUAUUUGUCGUUUAUUGGAAAAGCAAUGCUCGUAUUAAAAUUGUUACCUCUUGGCGAGGGGAGCAGCUGGAAUAGUCCUGGUAGAUGCUUCACGUUUAGAGGACCGUCCAUUGUUCGGCACGGGUUCGACAUACCCUACAAUAAUAGGUGCCCGACACAUGGAACGAUGACCCGUUGUAACAUGAGGGGAUGUUGUGGCACACGGAUGACCUUUUCGAGAAGGAGCUUUCUUCUUUUCCUUGAUCAACGGAGGAGGUAUCUUGGGAUAAUCGGCUACGAGGGUGGUCUCAGUGUCGUUAAUGCUCAUCUGAAAGAAGAACCCAUUUUCAAAGAUAAUCGACGCAUCCGGAUCAUCAUGGAAACCGGGGUUGUCGUCCUUGACAUAGUUCUCUGGCAGAGGAGGGAGUUGAUUUUCUCUACCACGCGCCUCCAUUCCUAUUUGAAUCUUUUUCCAAGGAUUUAGUCACACAAGGGACACUAUAAAAAUCUGAAUUAGGGAAGUUAAGCUAUACUGACCCAUUCGAUGGGGUUAUGAUUAGAAUAGUCGUCCUUGGUGUUCUAACUGAUAAAGUCUUCCUUUUCUCCUUUAUAGGGGUCCACCAAUACGACACCCAAUGCCGCUGGGCUACCCGGACCAUCCCGCUUGUAUCGAGUGGCAUCGCUUGAACCAUUGAAUUGCCACAGUAGAUGGGACCUUUGUUGGAUAGGUCAAACACACCAUCUUAUGGCCUCGUCCAUUACAUCAAUCAUAGUAAGUCGGAAAUGUGUCAACAGUUUUUUCCUUGGCAACCAACUGUCUCACCUCUGCGCCAUCUUCUUUAUAAGGGCUUCUUGGACGCUAGUUGAACCACUUAUUAAGAUGAGCGGUUGAGAAUUCGAGCAGACCCCUUCAGACAGGGUCAAAUAAAGGCACGUCUUUGAUAUAUAACCACUAUGACGUCCACUCUUCAGAAGCUGCCCUCGGGGUCCCUACCGGAUACCCAGUCCCAGCUAUGCGCCAUACUUCGGCUCCUCCAACUUCACAAAUAGUCCCACCCUUAGUUCGGGGGACGCGACAUGAAAAUUUCUUCCACAAUUCAAAGUGGGUUUCUCAACCCAGGAACAUCUCAUAGAGAGCGAUGAACCCCGCGAUGUGGAGGAUGGAUCCGGGGGUAAGCUGAUGAAGUUCGAUACCGUAAUACUCCAAGAGGUCGCGUAGAAAGGGGUGGAUACGGAAGCCCAUGCCUCGUAAGAGGAACAAAACGAAGUAUACCCUCUUCAUCGUGUUGGACAUGGGGAAUCUCUCUGCAAAGGCCUCGCCAUUGGCGGAGGUUAGCACGGGGCGAGAGGGUGCUAGAUUUGAGUCAGGCAAAUACCCUUGCACCUCAAGCUCGCUUAGACGGAGGCGUGAGACUGAGCAACUAGCCCAAUCUCCUGGGAGAGAGCCAUGAGGGCGCGAGGAUGAGCCUGGAGAAGACACCAUGUCUUUGUUUCUUUGGUGUUCUUCUCCACGUGUUGGAGGGGAUGGGGAGCGUUGCUGGGGGCAUGCGUGGGUUGUAUGAUAAGUAACUUGCCUUUUUUUCUUUGGGAAGGAACCACUUAUUUUCAUUGGCACACAUGAAUCGAGCAGUUGGUUAACCCCGCGGUAAGAAAAUAUUCAUUUUUGUGGGCUCGAUGAUUUUUCAUGAGUCGCAGAUGAAGGACAAUGCGGAAUGGGAUCAACCAAGUAUAAGGUGGAACUCGCCUCACAAGUCAAAGAUCGCAGAAACAUGAAGAUGGCGAUCCUAGACAACUGCAAUAGAGGUUAGUUCGGGGGCUACUAAGGUAGUCUGGGACUAAGGGGUCCUCGGGUCGUGUGUCUAUUCUCAUGAGCCGGACUCCCGGGCUUGUUCGGUCAUCAUUGGAAGUAUCGAAAUCAAGAUGGACUCUUCCGAUGACUUGACAUACGAUCCAAGGCAACAUAGUAAUCGACAUGUUCAUUCUCUAUUGUAGCCGACUUUGUGUAACUCUGGCACCCCUGGUAUCUAUAUAAAUGAGGGGCUCAUAGUUCAUGGGAUACAUUAAGGUCAUUACAAUUAGGGUUCAGACCACUACAUCUGGUCUGGAAGUAGAUCAACUUUGUACUCUGUACUACUCCAUCAUCUCCUCGAGCCCCUCGCAUUGGCGCUUGUCGUGGGUGUGGAGGGAGUCCUCCAUCACGUGCCGCAUAUGCUCCCCCUCAUCAUCAGUUAUAGGGACUGGUUGGGGUGGCGACGACAGUGAUGGGAUCAACGUGAACCUGGACGACCGACAAAGUAUGACUGCCGCCGCACGUCGUGUUUAUCGCGGAACCAAGUAUCCCAUCGAGUUGAGUCUAUGGCAUACCGGUGGUCGUUGACGAGGUCGAGCGGUAGGUGGGUGCGACGGCGGCGGAUCUCCUUGCGGAGGGCUCGGUCGCUCAUCGGGACCGGUGGGAUCGACACCCGAUAUGCGAAGAGGUCUGAGUUAUUGAGGAGGUGCACGUUACUCCUCGAGAACAGUGAGCCCGUCUCCUAAUACCUCUCGUAGAUCUCAGCCUUCACGUACGAUCGCAUGCGAGUAGCGGCCGCCGCCGACGAGAUGUGAAAUGAUGGGGGUGGAGGAGGUGGGGAUGGAGGAGGAGCGGCGGCCGAAGGAAGACCCGACCGCGUGGUCGUGCUUCCUCUUGCGGCCGAGGAUCCGGUGCCAACCCAUUUCGCUGGCGGUGAGGUGGAGAAGAGUAGGCGUCGGAGCUAGGGUUUGGCACGAACGUGUCGGCUUGAAAGAGGUCCAGAGUUUCCACAUUAAGAAAGACAGCGACUCGAGGCGUCAAAAAUACGAAUGCUCAUGCGAGUUGGGUCUUCUUGUCACAUCCGGACGAUUUGGGGGUGUACGUUAGAGUAACCCUUAGCCGAUCCAAAGAAAAGAAAAAAAAAUCGACGUCCGUGUUAACCUGAGAAAAUGCACCGUCAAGGCACAGCAAGACACGUGCACUCCACUGCAUGCCUGCCCUCCCCUCCCCUCAAGGUGCCUUUAUCCUUCUUCCCCUUCCCCUUCCCCUUCCCCCUCCCCAUUAUUUUCGCUAAAUGGCCCCUUCACAUUAUCCUGAACUGAGUAUGUAGAUACGCGCAGACAUGGAUCUGGAACCGGAGCGGAUACCCAUCCGGGUCCAGAUCUGGACCGACCCCUUCUCCCGCUGGCGACGAGCCCCUAGCUAGCUAUCUCGGACCAGUCCGGCUGCGAGAGGCCACCGGCGGCAUGGCUGCGUGCGGCGGCAAGGCCGAGUGCAAUGCGAGCGCUCUACUCGUAUCUGUCCGAAUCCUGUCGCCACGCCCGUCCCGCUCGCCGUGGCCGCUGAUCGCGCGCGUUUGCUGGGGCCGCGUCCCUCCCCGGACGGCGGCGAUGAUGGAGGGAGCCGCCGGCGCCGGCCAAACCCCCGAACGGCGGCCGCUCCUCGGGGCCAACUCUCGCCGCGCCGGACCGCGCAUCGGCUUGGAGGCCCCUCGGGGCUGCNNNNNNNNNNNNNNNNNNNNNNNNNNNNNNNNNNNNNNNNNNNNNNNNNNNNNNNNNNNNNNNNNNNNNNNNNNNNNNNNNNNNNNNNNNNNNNNNNNNNUCCGGCGCAGGAUCUGAGUCGCCGUCGAUGGAUUUCGCGUAGCCUGGCUUCUUUUUCUUUGGAUCCGGUGCGUGCGUGCAAGCUCUCUCUCUCUCUCUCUCUCUCUCUCUCUCUCUCUCUCUCUCGGUGCGUGCGUGCGUGCGCGCAUUGCACACCACUAGACCCAAACCCUAAACCAAAUCAGGGGAGCUCUCGUUGCCGGAUCGCUGGCCUAUCGUCCGGAUGUCCGCCGCGUCAGUUCCCCACAGCUACGGUGCCGCCAGCCACCGCCGUUCCAUUGCCUUGGAUUCGGCUGUGCUCGUGGGCUGGGAACCGUGCUCUGUUGUCUGAUGCGUCGUUGGAGCGGGAGGUUUGAUCGGUCGAGGCCAGGUAUGAGCAGCUCCUUUGCUGGCUGGAUGGAUGGAUGUAGGUCAUAUGUCGUGAACUAACACCACGACACCUCUUUUGGAACGGAGGGAGUAUGUAUGUACGUAUGGAUGUCAUGGUCAUGUUGCUUGGGGGUUCAACCUCUUUUUGCGUUAGGGUUCACUUCGUGUGUUCUUUCGCUCCAGGGGUCAUUUUUGUCAAUUUUGCCCCCCUCCCCAUUAUUUUUGCUAAAUGGCCCCUUCACAGGAGUAUGUAGCAGAGCAUCUACAGCCAUACAUGGAUCUGGAACCGGAGCGGAUACCCAUCCGGGUCCAGAUCUCGACCGACCCCUUCUCCCGCUGGUGACGAGCCCCUAGCUAGCUAGCUCGGACCAGCCCGGCUGCGAGAGGCCACCGGUGGCAUGGCUGCGUGCGGCGGCAAGGCCGCGUGUAAUGCGAGCGCUCUACUUGGAUCUGUCCGAAUCCUGGCGAGCCCUGUCUCCCGCUCGCCGUGGCCGCUGAUCGCGCUCGUCGGCUGGGGCCGCGUCCCUCCUCAUACGGCGGCGAUGAUGGAGGGAGCCGCCGGCGCCGGCCAGGCCCCCGACCGGCGGACGCGCCGGGCNNNNNNNNNNGUCCGCCGCGUCAGUUCCCCACAGCUAUGGUGCCGCCAGCUACCGUCGUUCCAUUGCCCUGGAUUCGGCUGUGCGCGUGGGCUGGGAACCGUUCCCUGUUGUCUGAUGCGUCGUUGGAGCGGGAAGUUUGGUCGGUCGAGGGCCAGGUAUGAGCAGCUCCUGAGCUGGAUGGAUGGAUGCAGGUCAUGUGUCGUGAACUAACACCACGACACCUCUUUUGGAACGGAGGGAGUAUAUUUUGGAACGGAGGGAGUAUGUAUGUACGUAUGGAUAUCAUGGUCAUGUUGCUUGGGGGUUCAACCUCUUUUUUGGAUAAAGAAGAGGGGCGAUGCCCAUAAUUAUGACUGGCUGAAAUAAUCAUGUCUUUGAGACAUCAAGACAGCCGUGGCAAGGUGGGACUAAAUAGUGUCUGAAAGUGGGUAUCUGCGUUGGAGUUGCUCUUAGAGCCCACCCUUACCUCUGUUGCAGCCUGUCCAAUUCAUCGCCAAUGUUGGAUGUUCUGUGCCUUGGACGGUUGUUCUGAUGAGGGCAUGUACAUUGGUUCAGUCGGAAACCAUCGGCAGCAUGCGGCCAUCUCAGUGAUAACCAGGGCUGUUCUCUUACAUUGUGAUGUGUGGAUUAUGCAGCAAGAGAUGUGGGUGUUGGGUUUGAAGAUUAAAUGCUAAACUGAGACCUCUCUUGCUAUGCUACAUAUACUCAGUUCAGUUGCAUUUUGUUCUGGAUUUGGCAUGGAUCCUCUUCACCUCCCCCCCCCUCUCUCUCUCUCACACACACACACACACACACUCACACU
rnacentral:lncRNA from 1 species